rnacentral:lncRNA from 1 species
ACUGCUGCCACAAACUUGUCAAGCAAUGACACCCCCACAUACAACUAUAGUGCGCGCAUACACACACACACAUAGACAAGUACUCAUAAAUAAACAGAUACAUACAUAUCAACGUGUGUAUGUAUUGUGGGGUGAUUUGUGAUUUGUCUUACCUCCUACAAUUAUUUUGAUGACGUUUAAUAUCAGCAUAUCUUUACUACCGAAUCUCACCCAAAGCUAUUCUAUUUUCAUUAAGGGAAUUAAAGAAGACCAAUAAUUUUAGCAACUUUAAAAAGUUAGCGGGAACUCUUUGUUAUUCCUUAACUUAGAAACUUAUUGGAGUAUAAAUUAAGGUAAGUUUUAUUUUGUUAGCUCACAAAAACUUUAUAAUUUAUGAUUCACAAUCGACAAAAAAAAAAAAAAAAACUCCCCAAAAACUUUAUAUUUUUGAGAUCUCCUAAGAUCAUAUAUAUAUAUAUAUAUAUAGUUUUUCUUUUAUGUCGAGUUAUAAUAAAAACAGUAAAAUUACUUUUGGUUAAUACAAAUUUUAUCAUACAUUUGGUUUCUAAAUUUCAGCCUGUUGACCGAUAAAAAUCACUGUCACCACUCUUGUAAAAAGUAUAAUAUAUAUAAUUAAUCUAUAUAUAUUGUUUAGUUUAACCGUUAAAAUAUAAUAUAUAUAAUUAUUAUAUAUAUUGUAAAAUUAUAAUAUAUGUAAUUAAUAUAUAUAUAUUGUAAAAUUAUAAUAUAUGUGUAUAUAUACAUAUAUAAAAAAAACAAAAAACUUUUGUAUCUUUAUUGUAGUAACUGAUCAACAUAACUUUUAGAAGUUUGGGAUAUAUUUCUUAAUUCUUCUGUAUUUCUGUAUUUUUAUAUCAAAGGUUUUCAAACAAGAUUGUACACUGCUAAUUAUGAAACUAACCAGGAAGUUUAUUUUGUUUAUUAAAUUUUUCUUUCUUUCUACAGCACUUUUUCUUUUUACGCUUCUUUAACUGCUCUACUCCGGCAACUUCUUAAUUGCAUAUUUUAGAUAUAGUUAAUAUGCAAACACUCUUUAUCAUACAAACACGUAUAGCUUAUAAUAACAAAUGUAUGACCUUCUUAUUAUAAACUAGUGUAUGUAGGUUUAGCUUUGGAGAAAGCCCAGCUAAAAUUUCAGGCAGUGCGCUGCUAGUUGGAGGACUUGUGUGAUUGAUGUGGUGAAGGGAUCAAGCAAUUACGCUCAUUUACAUACACAUGCUUUAAUGAUAUUAUAGAAUUAAUUAAUUACAUUAUGAAAAUGAUACAUGAAAAUUGUGUAUACAAAUUAUCUAAAUUGUUUUGGAAGAUUUCACCUGAAGAACUAAGCAGUUCCUUUUCCUAAUGUACAUAUGUAUGUAGGUUUUUAUAAAUAGCGAUAAAUUUCCAAUGUAGGUUAGUGUCUGUCCUACUCUUCAGACACUAAGCAAACUUUGUUGUCAUCGUCAUUUUUAACUUUCCCGACUUCGUUGGAAAAGUUAGUGUCGCGAAGAUAUAUAAUAAUGAUUUUAAAAAGGUCCUUUUUAUGUAUGUAUGUAUGUAUGUAUGGAAACUUCAUAAUACAUUAGUAUUGCCUCAUAGUUAAAACCGUCACACUUAUUUUCAGAAUAUUUUAAUAAAGAUUUUCAAAUUAACUGCUUACAAAAUAUACAUAGGCACACAUGAUCAAACAAGAGAGCCUCUAAUGCAGUUUAGUGACCUGUUUGAAAUAGCAGCCAAAUCUCCCUUUAAUCAAACGCUAUGAUCGAACGAAGGAGCCUCUGUGUGGUCGUUUGACCUGGAUCAAGCGAAAGUGUCUGUACGUGGAAGCUUGACCCGGUUAAUUGGCAGUCAAUUAAUCAGAAACUACGAUCAAGGGAAGGAGUUUGUGUGUAGACGUUUGACCCGGUCGAAAUAGUAGUCAUCCCUCCCUUCCUUUAAUAUAUAAAAAAACUACGAUUAAACUAGGGAACGUGGCCUUAAAAAGCAGCCAAAUUUUUCUUAAGUGACUCUUCUUCAAGAAACUGCGGGGACGGAAGACAAAGAUCGUUAUGACUUAAAUGCCUUCGAUUGUAACUGCUCAAUCAAGGCUGACAUUAACAACAAUAACCGACAUUUUUCUUUUUUCAUUUGAUUUUCUCACAGACUUUUUUUUUUUUCAAUAGCAAAAGGAUUGUAGAAUGAGGAUCUUUUAAAGUUUCUCUUGGAAUAAUUUAACUCGGACUGAAAGUGUGAUCAACGAACUAAUGAGAUCGAUUAUUAAUAAAGUUUGAGAGUACUUAGCAUAGAUAUUUUAACACGUUUAUUUAACUUUAUAAUUAUGCCGUUCUCGGAAUAUGUGGUUCUCCGAUUUUUAUUUUACGCAUUACAUUCAGAAUUUGCAAAUAUAAAAUAUUUUAAACUGAUUAAGGUCAGGGGCGUUUCAUUUUUAGUUGCUUUCUCUCAUUUCUUUUAAUAUGUAUGCCUUCAAAAUUCCGCCGAGGUCGACUUUGCCUUUCAUCCUUUCCGGGGUGCUAAAAUAAGUACCAGUUGGGUACUGGGGUCGAUAUAAUCUACCUACCCUCCUCUCCCGAAAUUGCUGACUUUCCUUGUGCCAAAAUUUGAAAUGAGUAUGUAUACCUUAAGGCUGAGGUAAAGAAUACGCACACCACCAGUUUUCGGCGUAACCCUAAACCCUAACCACCGGGUGUGCAUAUUCUUUACCUUCGCCUAUCUUUAGGAACAUAAAAAGUACUUUUUGAUAUAUACAUAUAUAAUGUAAAAAGAAAUAUCCCGUUUGCCUUUGAAGUGUGUAAUAUGUAUGUUUGUAAUUAUAUUUUCAUUUUUAAUAAACUGAAACAACGAUCAUUUGAAUACACCAGAAAGGGAAUUAGUACAAUCCUAAUUCGAUCUACACAGUACUUAUCAUUAUUUUGAAAGGCAAUACAGCUGUUAGAAGGCUUCCUGGUAUUUCAUACAUGUAUUCUAAUAAAUACAUCUGUUGAGAUUCCUUGCUGUUGGUGUGUGUGUGUGUGUUUAAGAUAUAAAAAGUUAUAAGGGAAGGUUUAAGAAAAGUUUAUACUUAAAAGAUAAGUGUCUGUUAAUAAAAUAAUAGGAGAAUGUCUUCGUGAUGAUUUAAGAUCUAGAAAAUGUCUUCCUGGUUAUUUAAGAUCUAGAAAUGUGUUGGUAUAUGUGUAUACAUUACAUGCGAUGUACAAAAGUGACUAAUAAAAAGUUUGCUUCCCCACGACAUAAUUUAGGUUCAGUCUCACUGUGUGGCACGUCUUCUAUAGUCUCAGCCUGACCAAAGCUUGCUUCAAGAAUUCUCCAUUAAGGAAAAAGGAUAUAACAGUAUAUCUCAAGACAUACCGUUUACCCUUGUUUCUGCUUUGAUUAGGUUUGAUUAGCAUGGCAAUCAUCGUACCCCAUCUCUAGUAGCCAAGGAACAUAUACAGAGUAGAACACGUAUAUGGCUGAGGUAAUUUGCAUAAAUUAAACAGUAAAAAAAAAGUGGAUCUUUUCGGUUUGAACGGCAGUUUUUAACAUAAUUUCUAGGUAACUAAAAAUUUUAAACUUCGUAUACAGGUAGAAUGUCUUUAGAAAACAUCUUUUUCUCUUGGCUUUAUUGAGAAAAUUCUAUAGUUUGUAAGAUAUUUGUUGUUUUUCUUCUGCAAUUUCAACCAAUCACUGACGUCUAUUGAGGUAAACAACAUUCUGUGCCGUAUGAAUAUGUCCUUCGUUUAAGAAACAGAUUGGGUUUAUUUACAUUUGUGAAGAAAAAAAGAUACCCUUCCUCCACCCCUAACCCUAAAACGGAUUGAAAUGCAAUAGAUCGAUACUAGGGUCAUAAUUAUGGGUGACAAUUUCAUAUGACACCGCUAGAAAAAACUGCCGUUCAAACCGAAAAGAUCCAAAAAAAAAAAAAAGUUAAGAGAAAUGGUAUGUAUAUCAUCACCAUCAUUUAACGUCCGUUUUCCAUGCUGGCAUGGGUUAGAUGGUUUGACGGGAGCUGUGAAGGCCAGGGGUCGCACGAGGCUCUAUUGUCAUUUCUAGUGUGAUUUCUAAAGCUAGAUGACUUACUUAUCUAAUGUCAACCACUCCACAGAGUAUACUGGGUGCGUUUUACAUGGUACCAGCACCGCUAUCAAUUCUGCUGUGACAGACGAAUCUUAUUGAGUACAUACAUGAGCAACAUAAACAAAUACUGGUAUAUCAGGUAUAUCAUACAACAUAAAUUUUUGAUUUAUUAAUAUUAUCUUUGCUUCUAGAGCAGUGCUUCUCAAACUAUCUGAUGUGGUACACCGGCAGUUUUUCUUGCCCAAUGUGCCAGGGACAGGUAAUAUUUCUUAGUAAUAUUUAUUUAUACUGGAAACAAUAUAUAUCUAUAUAUAUAAAACUGUAGUUGUGUGAGUGUCUGUCUCCUACGAUUUAGAUUCCUAACUCCUCCCACAUUUUGCGGUGCAGUUUAACCAAAUUCGGGUAUCUUAUAGUCGUGAUUCAUAUCGAGCCCGUCUGACUAUUAGCGCGCGUCAACGAUGAGUCUACGAUUUUAAAAAUAAUUUAACAUCAUUUUUUAUUCCAUUUUAAUGCAUAAAAUGCAUCGUAUGUCGAUGGCGGCGGAGUUGGCGUCCACGCUCACAGCUGCACCUGUUUGCUUCUCCCCCUUCCCUCCCUCGUGAAGCUGUGGGGAAGGGAGUGUAAAGAAAUCAACGUCGUAAUGCGUUGUGAAGGAAACCAGCGUUCUUUUAGAACAACGACUUCAUGGCUUGAAGACACCAAAACAAAAAUGGCUAAGAAAGCCCGAAUUUAUAAGGGAAGUAACUCUCUAAAAAUGCUUAUAUAGUUAUUUCCCUUACAAACCCGAGCAACGCCGGGCGAUACUGCUAGUAAUAUAUAUAAUUGAUGCAGCACGAAGUUUUGUCAGUGAACAGGUCGCAGUCUCAAAGCGACGAAAAUAUUUUAACAAAUUAAAUUUUAAUGUUGAAGUGAAUCUAACGGUUUUGUGUGUUUCUUAAAUGGCUUAUAAACACCUUCCAUGCUGCAAUUAUUUUCGUUCCAGCACACGAUCUUAGAUCAAGUCACUCGCUAUGCAAGUACAUCUCCGUAAUAUAUAUAAUGAAUAUAAUAAAAAUUGAUAAUUUUUUUUUUUUAUCUUAUAUUUAUUUUGUAAACAAAUAAUGCAAUAUUACAUAAGCAUUUUACAAUAUUUCUUUCUUUUCUGGAAACUCGCCGUGUACCAGCAGCUGAUGGCUCGUGGGCCAGCACCGGUUUGCAGACCAUCACUUUGAGUAGCACUGCUCUAGAGGAUGUGCCACAAUUACCAAAUGGCAACUGAGUCGAGCGAUGGUGUAGUAAUGGCUGCUAAGCUUUUCCCAGCUUGCACUUAAACCUAGCUACCAUACUUUUAGUGCCAUUAUGUCCUUUGCUAAUUUGUAACUCCUUUAUAACAGAAGCUAUUGACUUCUACUUGUGAGUCACCUGGGCCUUUGAGAGAAUCUGUUACAGUGUGCUCAUAGUACAUAAUGCUCCAGAGCAUUUGUUCCAUAUCAAGCUCACCUCAGUUAGCCUGCUUGUAAUUCUACUCCAUCUCUUGUGUAUCACUAGCUUACAUUGAGUUCAACAUAUGGAGUUUAUGCUUCUUUCAUCAUCAUCAUCAUCGUUUAACAUCUGUUUUCCAUGCUAGCAUGGGUUGGAUGGUUCGACGGGCACCUGGGAAGCCAGGAGGCUGCACCAGGCUCCAGUCUGAUCUGGCAGUGUUUCUACAGCUGGAUGCCCUUCCUAAUGCCAACCACUCCAUGAGUGUAGUGGGUGCUUUUUAUGUGCCACCAGCACAGGUACCAGAGGAGGCUGGCAAACAGUCACGAUCAGUUGGUGCUUUUUAUGUGUCACUGUCAUCGUUAAAUACAGCCAUUUUCCUGACAGUACUGGGAUCUUUCCAUCUUUCCUACUUAUGCAUUAGUCUUUGCUCUUGAUUCCAGGUUUAGCUUUUAUGCCCGAAAUUUCUUCAAUCUACUCUAGAUUCAACUAAGCAGACUAUAUAAUCAGAAUACAGCUGUUUCCCUAGACAGCUGGUCUUAAAUCCUUUAUAAAGGCUUGUCAGACUUUGAUGAAUAGGAGUUUUGUCUCCUCCCUUCAUUUUAAAUCUGUUGCUGAAUUCCUUGUUGGCUUUCGCUUUAUUUAAUGCAUCGUUGUACAUAGCUUGUACAGUCCUCACAAGCCAUUUGCUCAUCAAGUUUCCUAAGUGACCACAAAAUUGCUGAGCAUGGCAUUCUGUCAAAGACUUUCUCCUAGUUAAUGGAAGUUAGGAAUAGUGGUUUAGUCCUAGUCAAGUGUUUCAAUUUGCAGUUGUCUCACUAGGAAAAUUGUAUAUUUGUGGUACUUCUGCCAGAACUACUUCUCGUUUAGGUUUACUCUACUUCAGAUAACUUGUGCUGUAACCUUUAUGGCUUGAACCAACGGUUUCAUGCCACUAUAACUUCUUUCUCUUAUUUUGUAGCAGUUGACACUGACACUGCUAUUGGGUGUGGCACCUCUCUGUAUCAUUCGAUUUACUCUCUAGGUGGUUAUUGUGUGCAUUUUUUCACCCAGAAAUCAAAUCAGAAAUGACACUCCAUCAAUUGCAAUGGUGCAGCUUUUGUGAUUUGAAAUGCUACUAUCUUCCUGAUGUUAAGUUGUCAUUCUUGAAGUUCGUUACUAACAUAUUUAUAGGUAUGCUUCUCAGGUUGGUUUUAAUAAAUUAAAAGAUUUUUCAUAUUGCUUGAGGUGUUGUUUUUACAACUGGAUGCCUUAAUAACACACAUGUGGUAUAAAGAGCAUGUUUAUGAUGGUCUAUCAUACAGUUUCCUUCCUUCAAAUUUCAUUUACAAGGUAGUGGUAAUCUGAGCUUUGAUAGAAGACACUUAUCCAAUGUGCUGCAUGGUGGGAUUGAACCCGGUUCUAGUUAGUUGCAAAGCAAAUGUCUUAACCACACAGCCAUGCUUGCACCACCCAUUUCGAAAACAUUUCUUUUACUUCAGAUUAAAUCAAUAUUUAACUGCACUGAAUAGUUUAAAUAUAUCCAGAGAUGCCAUUGUUUUACUGUUCUAUUUUGCUUGACAACUUGGACAGAAACAAAAAGCAAUUUGAAUUCUCUGUUUUAUGUUUAGCAUUGUCACACGGUGAUUUAUGUAAUAGGAGGCAGUCAGAUAUUGUAAUAAAUGAUGAAUGAAUCUGGCAUGUUGAGUCCUAUAUUUUGGCUUCGGAGUGAACUACUUAUCUCUAUCAUGACAUUUUCAUGCUGCUGGAAUGAUCUUGCAUAAAAGGAAAAAAAAACCCAAAAAAACUUUGGAGUGCUUUUUCAUCUCUGUCAGUUUUAUGUCAGGGAACCAGCAUCAAAACACAGACAUUACACAUCCCAAGAAAAGAAAUUCACAAAAGCGAUUACCUCCUUUUUGGUUAGCUUAGGUCAGUCACAGGCAAAUUGCAGACUGCAGGACUUUCUAAAUGGCAUGCUUCACAAAAAAUUACCUUGAAUUUUUUUUAGGUCUGCUUGAUGAUGUACCAUGUCUCAUGGGCUGACUUCUUACAAAGAAAUAAUCCAUGUUAGGCUUAAACCAUUAUGCUACUAGGCACGUAAAAAGCACCCACUACACUCAUGGAGUGGUUGGCGUUAGGAAGGGCAUCCAGCCGUAGAAACAUUGCCAGAUCAGACUGGGCCUGGUGCAGCCUUCUGGCUUCCCAGACCCCAGUUGAACCGUCCAACCCAUGCCAGCAUGGAAAGCGGACGCUAAACAAUGAUGAUGAAUCUGAUAAUUUCUCAAACUGAACGCCACAUUCUUCAAAUGGUCUUUUGACAUUAGCAUGCUACUCAUGGAAUUUGUUUGAAGUAUACUCUUAUACUUCAGUCACUGUUUGACUGGUCCUUCCUCUAUCAUCAUCAUCAUUUAGCAUCCACUUUUCCAUGCUUGCAUGGAUCACAUGGAAUUUGUUGUGACAGAUUUUUUACGGCUGAGUCCUCUUCCUGUUGCCAACUAUCACCUGUUUCCAAGAAAGGUAAUAUUUUCACCCUUAGAUGCUUUUUUUUUCAUGGAAGACUGGAAAUGAACCAACAACACUUAUAAUGACAGCAACGCUCCUUUACAUGUCUUGACAAGGGCACAGACACACACAUACACACACACACACACACACGCACAUACAUACACAGGCAUGCACACACACACAUACAUACACAUGCAUGCGUACACACACACACAGAUACACACACACACAUACAUACAUAUGCAUGCACACACAUACACAUACAUACACAUGCAUGCACACAUACACACACACACUUCUGAACAAUGGGCUUCUUUCAGUUUCUAUCCACCAGAUUCACUCACAAAGCUUUGAUUGACCCAGGGCUAUAGUAAAAGACACUUACUUGAGGUGCCAUGCAAUGUGGGGGAACCCCAAAAACAUGAGGUUGGAAAGCAAACGUCUUGCCUUACAGCCACACCUCAUAUUAGAUGGUUGGGACAAAGCUUGUUAAUCAUGCAACCAUACUUCAAAUCAAAUAUUAUUUUGAGUUGCACAAUUGUUAAGGUGUAGUCAUGCUUCUGUGCAUAACACAACUGCUGAGGUUUGUACUGAUACCGCAGAGAGAUAUUGGGUGACAGCUGUGUAUUACUAUGGGUGACAUGGCUGUUCAGGUUGAUAGUCAUACCUCUAGGAGUGGUACUUUUGUUUAGGCUAUUAGCCAUGUUUCUAUGUACAGAAGUAGGGCAUUUCAGUUAAUACCUCUGUAUAUGUUAAUACCCCAGAAACUUUUGGACAUAGCUUUCACUUGUCAUUUCCAUUUUCACACUUCCUUUUAUUACUAUCUCCUUUGUGAGACAUUGAAAGAAUCUUUACAUACCAGCCAAAUGUCCCUCAUAUUACAUUUUAUUAGCUCUUUAGCAUUCAGAUUACUCUAUCAAAUAUAGUCUCUCUAUAUAUAAACAGCAAAAUGUGUGUGUGUCCUUUAUACAAAUCCACAAUUUUUCAGUUAAAGGGCUCGCACUUUCUAUGGUCAUUCAAAACCGUCCAAGGGUGGUCGUGCACAUCUUUACAUUUCCCCAGUCACCCCGCAAAGCCAUUAAAAAAUCAAUAGAAGUGACUUUUUUGUGAAUUUUCUAUCCAAAACCCAAUCAAAAUGCCUGAAAUUUGAUACGCCAAUUGAAUGCCAGCUAACUGUAUGUGACUGGUCGGAGAUUUGGACAGUACUCGCGUGUAUGUGCGCACGCACGCAGCUGUAUAUGCAUGCACUAGCACUAUGACCUGGCAAUGUCGGGUCAUAAUGCUAGUGCUUAUAUAGUUAUAUUCACGUUAUUUUGAAUUACUCAUGCAUUGUCUCAUAGCUUUGAGAUUUUAAUGAUAUGAUUGUUUAUUUUUAGAUUGACAUUGUGGUUUGAAAAUAAAACUGGAAGAAUAUUUGCUAAAUGCUAAAGCAGGGAUUCUCAACCAUUUUUAUCUUUGGACCCCCUUUGAUUACUAUUUUAUUCUGGUGCCCCCCCCCAUAGCCAUCCAAUGUUUAAAAACUAGUUUUAUAGAAACUUCUUUCAAAAUUCCUAUUUUGUUUUUCACACAUUCCUUUGUGUAGGUUGAGCUGAGUAAAAUGUUAGAGAAAGAAACUUAGCUAUUUCUUGCAAUACAUACCAAUACAUACAUAUAAAUCAAAAUUUUUUCAGAAGUCCUUAAACAUUAUUGUGGAUCCUCAGUUUACUAUUUCGUACGUGGACCCACAAAAACCUUAAUAUGGACCCUUGGUGGGUGAUCUGGACACUAGUUGUGAACCAGGAAGGAUACAUUGAAUAAUGAAAUUGUAGAUAAACAUAUGUCUGAAGAGCAAACAGGACGAGACUCCUUUGACCAUAGGUCUGAUUGCUUCUUGUUAAAAUGGUUGUAAUUAUGGUAUAUCAAACAAGUUCAAUAUAUAAGAUGAUGAGUAGAAAACCACUCUAAACUAGGGAUUCUCAUUCGGGGUUUGUAUGAACCCCCAGGGUCCAAAUAAGAUUUUUGAAGGUCCACAAAUGCAAUCUAGUAAAUUGGGGGGGCCCACGGUAAUUUCUCAGGGGUCAUCAAAAAAAUUGUGCUUCAGAUCAGUCAAGUUUAUAUGCAGUAAAAUGGUUAUAUGUCCAAUACACAAAAUAUAUAAACAAUUUUUAUAGAAGUCCUAAUAAUAUUUAAUUAUAAAAAUAUAAAAGGAUUUUUUAAAUAUUGAAUGAGGUUCCAAUUAAGUAAAACAAAAAUUAAAGGAGUCCCUAAAUUAACAGAAAGACAGGUCACAAAUGAUGUUGUUUAGACAGUUGUAGUUUUGGAUACACAAAACAAAAUGAUAUGGAAGCUGUAAUAAGCUGUGUCUAAAGUUCUCACUAUUGUAUACUUGUGCUUUGUAUGUGUAUGUAAAUGUGUGAAUUAUGCAUGAAUUAGAAAACAGUGAGGCUUGUAUCGUAAAAGUAGGAGUGGUCUCAGGUGGGUUGGUAUCAAAAGUGUUAAGCUUGCUUAGUGUUAUAGAGAAAAUGUAAAAAGUGAAAUUUGGUGAAAAACGAAAUUUCUGCAUAAAUGCAAAAUUGUAUUGGCACCCUUUUUUUUAUGGCUUAGUUCAAGGAGGGAGGGUAACAUCGAGUGACUGAGAAUUGUUGUGGGAGGAGGAAGAAACUACAGACCUGUUCCAAAUGAGUUGGACUCCAAUAAAAAUCAUAAACUUAAUAGCUUAAUAUUAUGUUUACCACCCAGGUGGCCUUCUGCAUAGUUCUAUGUCUAUAGUUUCAUUCACUAGAUUUGGGCUGACCUGAGGGUCUGCAGUUGAAAAUGAUUGAUUGAGAUACCAUAUAGUGGAAUUACAUUAUGUAGUAAGCACAGAAAAUUUCUUAAUCACACCACCAUGUCAGGCUCCAUAUUGCAUUCAUGGAAUGUGUAGGUUAUAAAAAUUUGAGUGUAACCAAUGAAAACAUUUAACCAUAUUUGCUGGUGCAUAAGGGCACAUGCUCCCAUAACACAAACUCCAUUUUGUAUUGAAAAAAAAAAAUAUUUUGUAGAAAAAGCAAAUUUAAUGUUUCAUCACACACUUGUAUAUUUGGUAUCCUAUCCAUAAUAUGGUUGCAUUAAAUGUAUCAUCAUCAUCAUCAUCAUCAUUGUCUAAUGUCAGUUUUUCCAUGCUGGCAUGGGUUGGAUGGCUUAACAGUAAAUGGCAAGGCCAGGGACUGCACCAAGUUCCAUUGUCUGCUUUGGUUUGGUUUCAGCUGGAUGCCCAACCUAAUGCCAACCACUUUACAGAGUGGUGCAUGGUAUUCAUCUGAGCGUGAUCAUUGCCAGAGCAGCCAACUGGCUUCCGUACCCAUGGCACGUAAAAGGGCACCAUUCGAGCGUGAUUGUUACCAAUGUUGCUUCACUGGCACGUGUAAAAAGAUUCGAGCGAGGUCAUUGCCAGUACCGCCUGACUGACCCCCGUGCAGGUGGCACGUAAAAAGCACCCACUACACUCUCGGAGUAGUUGGCAUUAGGAAGGGCAUCCAGCUGUAGAAACUCUGCCAGAUCAAGACUGGAGCCUGGUGCAGCCAUCUGGUUGCCAGCCCUCAGUCAAAACUGUCCAACCCAUGCUAGCAUGGAAAACGGGCGUUAAAUGAUGAUGCUGAUGAUUUAAAGAUUAAAAAAAAGUGCAUCUUAUACACUGGUAUUUACAUCUAGUUGACAAUAUUGUUACGUAGUGGCUAUGGGAUUGUUGUUUAGCCCUUGGUUCUCAUUGAUUGAUUAGAUUAGUAACCAAAGGAUCAAAGGUAUUGCAGCCAUCACUAUUCUGUCUUUUAAUCUUUUAGUAUUCAGAUUACUUUGUCAAAUGUAAUGCUUAUGUACUAAAAUUGUUAGAGCCUUCUGUGUCUGUUUUGGCAUGGUUUUUUUAUGACUGGUUGCCCUUCCUAGCACCAACCACUCUGCAGAGUGGGCCGAGUAUUUUUUAUGUGGCACCUGCAUAGGAAGGUCAGUUUUGGCAUGAUUUUUACAGCUGGAUGCCCUUCCAAAUUCCAACCAUUUUACAGUAUGGGGUGGAUUAUAUUUAGAAUGACAUUGUAAGGUUAGUGUAAGAGGCUAUAUCAGGCUGGCUUGAACAUGAAGCAGAUAAAAUAUUUGGGCUGGAUACGGCAGGUUGAAAUGCUAAAGGGUUAAGGUUAUGCAGGGUUAUAUUAUGUAAUGUCUUCCCUUUAUUAAAGACUGCAGAAUAUGGGAGACUGAGUUUUGUUUGCUAUUUUUAGCAAGUCAAGCAGCCAUGUAAAGGUUUCUCUGUUGACUUGAGCAGGCUGUGAAUUGGCAUUGUACUUGAAAUGUCUUAGGUUUGAAUUUUGCUGUAGUUGUUGUUAUUUAGCCCCGAGUUAACCCAGACUAAGCAAACCUAUGGUUCAAGGUAUUCCAACUGUCAUUUCUAUCAGGUUGAGUGAUGACAAAGUGGGCCUUUUGUCUCACCUCUCUAGAGCAGGGGUUGACCCAGAAAAACGUGGGAUGAACUAGUGAGAAAGGAUCUUCAAAUGUUGAGCCUCACAGAGGGGAUGACAAGGGGCCGACACUUUUGGCAGUUUACUGUACUUGAGAAGAUACGUCAAGCUACACAGGUAUCCCACUAUUGGGUGCUGGUGUCAUGUAAAAUUACCCAUGUCGGUGUCAUGUAAAAAGCACCCCAUGCUGGUGUUGAGUAAAAGGCACCUACACCAGUGCUAUGUAAAAGCACCCAGUACAUUCUGUAAAGUUUUGUUAUGGUCAUUUCUACAGAUAUUCUAUAGAAAUUAUAGCCAACACUGAUUUUUGCUACUUUUCGUAUUGAGAUGUCAGAUGGAAGACAAAAAUGGGUAAUGAAUGUGCAUGCCAUAUUUCGAGGGUUUUUGCCCCUUCAUCAACACCCAUCUAAUCCAUUCUCACCUCCAAACACAUUGGUUAUAUAACCACUGCAGCCAGUGGUGUUAUGUUAUUGGAUAUCCCAAUUUACAUUAUCAAAAGCAUUCCUGGAGCUGGUACAUAAAUAUUGAUACUCUGUAAAGUGGUUGGCAUUAGGGAGGGCAUCCAGCUAUUGAAACAUUGCUAAAACAGUCUUGGAGUUCAGGCAGCUCUCAGCUGGCCAACUUCUGUCAAACUGUCUAACCCAUGUCAGCAGGGAAAACUUUGAAUGACGAUGUUGAUGGGGUUUUUUUUUUUGCAUCCCUCUGGGAUUAAUAGAUACCUGUGAAUUAUUGGCAAAUGGGAUGUGAGUAAAUUAAUUGGCUAUACUAUCUCCUACAAAAUUAGGUCUCAUGUCAAGUUUUAAUGAAGAAAUCAAUAUUACCAAACAAAAGAAAAUACAAAAAUGGAAUUACCAAUAAUCUAGGAGAGAACGGGAGAGAGAAAGACUGAUUGACUAUAUGUGCAUGUGUUUUGAAAAAAAAAUCUCUCUUGAAUUAAUAAUUUAUUUAUGUUGUAACAGUCAUCAUUCAAAACAUUUGGUGGCAUUAAUCCUUAAAUCUUAGGAGUAAGAGUUUAAGAGAUUUUUGUUGUCAAAGAUCUGAGUGACUGGUUUUUUUGCAGGAAUAUAAAGUGGAACUUCAAUUUUAAUUAAGAAGAAUGCUAAAUAUUUAAAAAAAAAAAAAACAAGGGGAGAAUAUUUUAUAAAAUUCCUUUGUGUGGUAAGAAGAGUGCUUCCCAACCACAUGGUUCUAUGUGGCACCUUGGCCAAGUGUCUUCUACUAUUUCCUGUGACUGACCAAAACCUGGUGAGUGGAUAUGGUAUAUGGAAACUGAAAGUAGCCCAUUGUGUGUGUGUGUGUGUACACGUAUGUAUGCAUCUAUCUAUAUCUAUCUAUCUAUAUCUAUCUAUCUAUAUAUCUAUCUAUAUCUAUUUAUCCAUACACACACACUCACACAUGCAUGUAUGUAUCUGUGUGUAUCUAUUAUAUAUUUUUGUUCUCCACCACUGCUUGACAACUGGUGUUGGUUUGUUUUCAUCCCUGUAGCUAAGGGGUUUGGCCAAAGAGACCAAUAGAAUAAGUACCAGGUUUAAAAUAUAAGUACUGGAGUCAAUUUGUUCGACCAAACCUUUAAAGGUGGUGACCCAAUAUGGCCACAAUCCAGUGACUGAAACAAAUAAAAGAUAGAAGGUAAACAUUUUCAAAAUCUUAUUAAUAGUUUUUCUUUCAUUGGCAUCAUCAUCAUUUAGCGUCCAUUUUCCAUGCUAGCAUGGGUUGGACGUUUCAACUGGGGUCUGGGAAGCCAGAAGGCUGCACCAGGCCCAGUCUGAUCUGGCAAUGUUUCUACGGCUGGAUGCCCUUCCUAAUUUGGGAGGAGGUAAUGGCUGAUUGCAUUCAACCCAGUAUUUGAUAAUCCUAAAGGACGAGGACUGACAUUGGCAGAACUGGAACUUAGACUGUAAAAUCUGUGACUAACUACUGCAAGGUAUUUUCUUCAAUGCUAUAAUACUCUGAAUAGUGGUGAUGAUGAUCUCUUGAUGAAGUACAAAGCAAAGGAAAGUGAGCAGAUAGUCUUUGAAUGAACCUUGGUUUUUAUUGGUACUUAUGUAAUUGGCACCAGAGUGAGGGAAAGUAAAGGUCAGCAUAGUGAGAUGAAACUAGAUGUCACAGCUGCUGUGCUUGGUUUGAAUUGACCUUGCUCACUGUUGUAACUACCACCAAAAGCCUCAAUGUAAUCAUUUAAGUUGCUAGAAAUGGUAGCUAAAUUAUUCCUCAAAUCAUAUUCUAAUAUCUUAAAAAAAAGAUACGAUGGUCAUGUCUGUUCAGUUAAAGCUGACCAAGGUUAAUCAAAAAAUGUGUUCACUUUAUCUUCUGUAAUUAACAGCUAAAUUUCCCACAAAUUACAUGCUAAAAUCUUUAAAAAAAAAAACAAAAAAAAAAGUCAUUAUAGUCAGGUUUGAAGCACCUUUAAUUAUAGGUCUGCUCAAUUGUGGUUGAUCUGGGGUUACACAAUUGCAUUUAAAUACUACAAAGCAUUUAUGUUCCUGCCAAAAUCACAGAAGAUUUAUGUGAAACUAGAUACAAUCAAUUUCAUAGAUCCGAGUAUUGACCAUUACAUUAUUGACCUUAUAAUAAUGAUAAUAAUAAUAAUUUUAAAUUUUGGCACCGGUCCAACAGUUGGUCAAUGGGAGGAAAGUUGAUUUCAUUGACCUCAGCACUUUACUGGUACUUAUUUUAUCCAUCCUGAAAGUAUAAAAGGUAAAGUUGACCUCAGUGGAACUUGAACUCAGAACCCCAAAACAAGCAAAAUACCACUAAGCAUUUUGCCCCGUGUACUAACAAUUCCACCAAUUCACUGCCUAAGUAGUAAUAGUAGUAGUAGUAAUACAGGACUAGUGGAGGAGCAUCAUAGCCUUGUGUUGAGAGGAAUGCUUUAUAGUUUGAAUAAUUCACCUCUGGAAACAUCCCAGAAUUGUUUUGGAUUUUGGCACAGAGCCAGCAAUUUUAAGCCGAGGAAUUAAAUAUUGACUGGCACAUGAUUUUAUUGACUCUAGAGAAAUGAAAAAAAAAUUUAAGUUAACCCUGGCAGGAAUUGAACUAAGAACAUAAAGAGUUGCAUAGAAUACUGCAAUGUCAUCAUAGAAUACUGCAAUGUCAUCAUAGAAUACUGCAAUGUCAUCAUCUCAAUCAAGGGAAGACAGGAAAUUUACUAGGGGAGAUGUAUAUAUUUCUUUAUAUUGACCCCUGUAUGUAUCAGAUAGUUAUUUUAUCAUCCCUGGGGUGAUCAAAGGCAAAAAUAGGCUUUGAUGGUGUUUAAUUAAAUUUGGAAUAGUGUACCUAUACACACCACAUAUAUAUAUAUAUAUAUAUAUAUAUAUAUAUAUAUAUAUAUAUAUAUAUAUGUGUGUGUGUGUGUGUAUGAUAAAUGUGUGAUAAAUUCAGAAGUUCUUUUAUUCCUACUAUUUCUUUGAUUUUCAUGCUGUGGAUGUUUGUCAGAUGGUAUGAAAUUCUUCAAGUUUCUAGUGAAUAAAAUUAAUGAACUCUACAUGCUUGGAAUAUUCAGAUUCUUGUUGCAAAAGAAAAUCAACACCAUAUAUCUGAAAUUUUAAUAAAUAUGUCUGUGUGUAUAUAAACUACUGCAAGUCAUUUUGUCUGAUUCUUUGUGUGUGUGUACACACACACAUAAAUGUAUUUAUAAAUAUCUAUGUGUAUUUGUGUGUGCAAUGAAUACAUGUAUUUGUAUAUGUGUAUAUAUGUAUGUAAUGGAAGGUGAACAGGGGUGUUGGUGAGCAAUAAUAAAUAUGAGUGGGAGGCCAAUAAAUGUGUGUCAGUUGGGAGUAACUCAGGGGAGAGGGAGUGGUGACUGGCAGUUUACAAAUGAUGAUGUGAAGUUUGGAAUAAACAAGUUCUAAUUUCUUUACUUAACCCUUUAGUAUUCGCAUUAUUCUGCCAAAAUUAAUCCUUUUUUAUCCACAUUGUUUUGAAUUAAUCAUGCAUUAUCUUGUAGCUAUGAGAUUUUGAUGAGGUAGCUGUAAAUUUUUAAAACGAUAUUGUAGGGUUGGUGUGAGAGACCAGAUCUGGCCAGUUUGACCAUAAAACAGGCAGAAUACUUUUGGCCAGAUAUGGCCAGUUUAAAUGCUAAAGGGUAAAAGCAGCAGAACAAUACAGUUGAUUGGAAAGUGAAGGAGGGACAUGUGAUAGGUAGAUGAAGGGUGAGUUACAGGUUGCAAGAGUGUGGGGGAGAGUGGAAGAUGAAUAAAAUAAGAGUGGGGGGUGGACGAUUGUAUAUGUGGGAGGGACACACUGCAUAUUUCCUAUCAUGUUGGUCAUUUGUCAUUUCCUCUGAGGCUCAAAAUCCUGAGAUCAGCUGGCAUCACCUCAUCUCACAUCUUCCUAGAUCUCCCUUUUCUACAACUUCUGUUUAUUGUAAGUGAUUCGUCUUUUUUUGUACAGUUAUCUUCAUUGUUAUAUGUUGCAUGUUCAAACCAAUUCAGUUUUCUCUCUUGCACAUUAUAACAAUUUUCGGAUCUUUUCGGUUUGAACGGCAGUUUUUUCUAGCAGUGUCAUAUGAAAUUGUCACCCAUAAUUAUGACCCUAGAAUCGAUCUAUUGCAUUUCAAUCUAUUUUAGGGUUAGGGUUAGUUAGGGGUGGGGGGAACGGUAUCUUUUUCUUCAGAAAUGUAAAUAAACCCAAUCUGUUUCUUAAACGAGGGACAUAUUCAUACGCACAGAAUGUUGUUUACUUCAUGGUUGAAAUUGCAGAAAUUGAAGAAAAAAACAACAAAUAUCUUACAAACUAUAGAAUUUUCUCAAUAAAGCCAAGAGAAAAAGAUGUUUUAUAAACACAUUCUACCAGUGUAAGAAGUUUAAAACUUUUUAAUUACCUAGAAAUUAUGUUAAAAACUGCCGUUCAAACUGAAAAGAUCCCAAUUUUCUCCUGUACCCAGUUUUUCUCUCUACAUAUUUGUACUUUUGUCAUUCAUACACACUGACGCUGCACAUUCAGUGAAUCAUGUUUGCUUCAUUCCUUUCUAGUUUUUGCAGGUUCUCUGCAUUCGCAGGCACAUCUCACUACUAUGAAGCAUUGCAGUUCAAAUACUGACAUCAUACAGUCUGCCUUUCAUUCUGAGACAGAAGUAGUAGCUCCUUGAACUCUCUCCACCCUGUUCUUAAUGCUGGCAGCUAUACUUUCAGAACAUCCUCCACCUCUGCUAAUUAGCUAUAUAUAUAUAUAUAUAUAUAUAUAGAAGCUAUAUAUAUAUAUGUGUGUGUAUAUGUAACUGGUUAUGUUACUGUUAGAUUAUUUAAACUUUGUGAGAUAGGCGCAGGAGUGGCUGUGUGGUAAGUAGCUUGCUAACCAACCACAUGGUUCCGGGUUCAGUCCCACUGCGUGGCAUCUUGGGCAAGUGUCUUCUGCUAUAGCCCCGGGCCAACCAAUGCCUUGUGAGUGGAUUUGGUAGACGGAAACUGAAAGAAGCCUGUCAUAUAUAUGUAUAUAUAUAUAUGUGUGUGUGUGUCUGUGUUUGUCCCCCUAGCAUUGCUUGACAACCGAUGCUGGUGUGUUUACGUCCCUGUCACUUAGCAGUUCGGCAAAAGAGACCGAUAGAAUAAGUACUGGGCUUACAAAGAAUAAGUCCCGGGGUCGAUUUACUCGACUAAAGGUGGUGCUCCAGCAUGGCCGUAGUCAAAUGACUGAAACAAGUAAAAGAGUAAAAAAAGAGAGAGUGUAAUAUCAACUGAAGGAAAAACAUUAUUUCUUACAGCUUUAUUUUCCUGUGAAUUUGAUGUUAGUGUUGGUAUGCAGAAGGCAGUAGUAGUUGGCAGUUUUAUAGUAUAAGGGGAAAUAACAACGACAGAGCUCAUGCACCUUUGGUAAUAACUGUGUCUGUUGUGGAUGUUAGGAGGAAGUUGUUGGCUAGAAAUUGGAAGACGUGUGGCACCCGAGAGCAAAAGUGGGAUCUUUUCGGUUUGAACGGCAGUUUUUAACAUAAUUUCUAGGUAACUAAAAAAAUUUUAAACUUCAUAUACUGAUAGAAUGUGUUUAUAAAACAUCUUUUUCUCUUGGCUUUCUCUCUUUUCUCUUUUACUUGUUUCAAUCACUUGACUGUGGCCAUGCUGGAGCACCGCCUUUAAUCGAGCAACUCGACCCCGGGACUUAUUCUUUUGUAAGCCCAGUACUUAUUCUAUCGGUCUCUUUUGCCGAACCACUAAGUAACGGGGACAUAAACACACCAGCAUCGGUUGUCAAGCAAUGCUAGGGGGACAAACACAGACACACAAACACACACACACGCAUAUAUAUAUACAUAUAUACGACGGGCUUCUUUCAGUUUCUGUCUACCAAAUCCAAUUGAGAAAAUUCUAUAGUUUGUAAGAUAUUUGUUGUUCUUUUUCUUCAAUUUCUGCAAUUUCAACCAAUCAAUGAUGUCUGUUGAGGUGAAAAACAUUCUGUGCCAUAUGAAUAUAUCCCUCAUGUAAGAAACAGAUUGGGUUUAUUUACAUUUGUGAAGAAAAAAAGAUACCCUUCCCCCACCCCUAACCCUAACCAACCCUAACCCUAAAACAGAUAGAAAUGCAAUAGACCGAUAGUAGGGUCAUAAUUAUGGGUGACAAUUUCAUAUGACACCGCUAGAAAAAACUGCUGUUCAAACCGAAAAGAUCCAAAGUUUCUGUAAAUGUUAACAUAUCUCAAAAUUAUUUAUUGAGCGACAAUUUUUAUGUGGUUUUCCUAACAUUACCAAAUACUGAAAGAUGUAAGGAAAAAAAAAAUGUCAAUAUUUCUUUUCCAACUUCCCACCAGUUACUGAAAAAGCUGCUUAAAAAAAACAGUAUGUCAUUGAUCUGUAAGGCAUCCAAAACACAUAGCAACUGUUUGAUUAUGAUCAUAAUUCUUAAACUUUUGCAACACAUACCAUAAACUUCUUGAAUAUUUAUCGUUAUUUGCAUGUUAGUCCUAGUUGUGCAAACCUCAAGGGGUAUAGCAGCAGUUACCAUCCUGUCUUUAUUUGAAGAAUGGUGUAUCUAAUACGAGGGUCAGUAAAGUGGCCAGUAUUGACCGCUGGAGGUCUCUGCGACUCUCCAAUGGGUUUAUAAACACCUGAAAUGAUUUUGAGCAUUAAGGGUGCAAACUUAAUCUGGAAGAGAGCAGCAUUUUAAAGGCUAAAAUUUGCUAAUUUCCAGCCAAAUAUUGGUGCAGUGACUAGUAUUCACCAAACACAUAUUUCACAUUAAGUAUUCUGACUAUACCAAUAUAAUGUCACUGAAUUUUAUCAUUCUUUAUUAAUCUCAUUAAGCUAUGGACACAUAAGAGGUGCAGCGAUAUCAAAGGAAGGUUAACUGGGAAGAUAGUUUUUGUGUGUGGCAGAUGCUCAGGAGCAAUAAACACCGAAGGUGUACAGAAAACAGUUUCCAUCACAUGCCAGGGGGAAAAUCUAGAAGCAGUUGAUAACUUCUGUUACCUAGAUGACCAAGUCAGUAGCAGGGGGUGGAUGCUCUGAGAGCAUAGCUGCUAGAAUAAGAACAGCCUGGGCAAAGUUCUGUAAGCUCCUGCCUCUGCUGGUAACAAAGGGACUUUCACUCAGAGUGAAAGGUAGACUGUAUGAUGCAUGUGUGCGAACAGCCUUGCUACAUUGCAGUGAAACAUGGGCUGUAACUGCAGAGGAUAUGCAUAAGCUUGAAAGAAAUGAAGCUAGUAAGCUUGACUGGAUGUGUAAUGUCAGUGUACAUACACAACGGAGUGUAAAUGCCCCGAGAGAAAAGUUGGACAUCAGAAGCAUCAGAUAUGGUAUGCAAGAGAGACGACUGUACUGGUAUGGUCAUGUGUUGCAUAUGGAUGAGGACAGGUGUGUGAAGUGUUGCACCCUAACAAUGGAGAGAACCUGUAGAAGAAGUAGACCCAGGAAAACAUAGGAUGAGGUAGUGAAGCCUGACCUUGAAUGUUGGACCUCACAGAGGCAAUGACAAGUGACCGAGACCUUUGGAAAUAUGCUGUGCUUGAGAAGACCCGGCAAGCCAAGUGAAACUGUUGCCGUCGCCGAUGCCAGUGUUGUAUAACAAGCCUGUUUAAAAGUACCCUUCAAUCGUUGGGCAAUAUGCUGUGCUUGUAAAGACCUGUUGAGUCAAGUGAAAUCAUAGUCAUGCAUGGAUGAUGCCAGUGCUACCAAAUUGGCACCUGUACUGGUGGCACAUAAAAAGUAUCAUUUCAGCGUGAUCGAUACCAGUGCUGCCUGACUGGCUCCUGUGCCAGUGGCACAUAAAAAGCACCAUUUAAGCAUGGUUGAUGCUAAAGCUGCCUGAUUGGCUCCCGUGCUGGUGGCAUGUAAAAAGCACCUACUUCACUCUUGGAGUGGUUGGUGUUAGGAAGGGCAUCCAGCUGUAGAAAAAUUGCCAGAGUGGAUUGGAGCCUGGCGCAGCCUCCGGGCUUGCCAGUUCUCAGUCCAACCCAUACCAGCCUGGAAAGUGGAUGUUAAACAAAGAUGAUUUCAUUAAAUUUCUUUAGCUAUUUCUUAUUAAAAAGUGGUUAUAACUAAAAAGAAGAAGGAAUUAUUGUUUUUAAAUCAAGAAAUUUUUUUAUUAAUUAUACUUUCUACACACCAUCUACACCCUCAGAGUUGGUACCCUUAAUGUGGGCACAUUGAAAGAUAGAUGAGGACAGCUGCAUAAAAAAGUGUAGAGCUCUAAUUGUGGAGGGUACCUGUGGAAGGGAUAGACUCAGGAAGACAUGGGAUGAAGUGGUGAGAAUGGAUCUCUGGGUGGUGGGCUUCACUGAGGAAAUGACAAGGGAUGAUGUGGCGAUUUGCUGUACUUGGUGAGACACAUCAAGCUAUGUAAAAUCGCUGUCUUCUACACAUACAAGUUUGGGAUCCUUUCGGUUUGAACGGCAGUUUUUUCUAGCGGUGUCAUAUGAAAUUGUCACCCAUAAUUAUAACCCUAGAAUCGAUCUAUUGCAUUUCAAUCUCUUUUAGGGUUAGGGGUGGGGGGAAGGGUAUCUUUUUCUCUUCACAAAUGUAAAUAAACCCAAUCUGUUUCUUAAACGAGGGACUUAUUCAUACGGCACAGAAUGCUUUUUAACUCAAUAGACGUCACUGAUUGGUUGAAAUUGCAGAAAUUGAAGGAAAAAAACAACAAAUAUCUUACAAACCAUAGAAUUUUCUCAAUAAAGCCAAGAGAAAAAGAUGUUUUAUAAACACAUUCUACCAGUAUGCGAAGUUUAAAAUUUUUUAGUUUCCUAGAAAUUGUGUUAAAAACUGCCGUUCAAACCGAAAAGAUCCCAAGUUUGUCCUUUCAGGUGCUGGUGCCCCUUAAAAAGUGUUUGUGCUGGUGCUGCAUUUACCCACCUGUACCAGUGCUGUGUAAACACACACAUGCCGGUGGCAUGUAGGAGACACCCAGCACACACUGAUGAGUGGUUGGCAUUAGGAAGGGCAUCCAGCCAUAGAAACCAUGCCACAACAAACAACUGGAGUCAGCUAGUCAGCUCCAUGUCAAACUGUCCAACCCAUGGAGAGUGAACAUUAAAUGAUGAUGAUACUUUUUAAUUUCAUUUUAGAAAUUUUCCUGAUGGGGAUUGCCAAGUUAUCAAUGAUUCCAUGAAGAGACUAAUGAUAUAAGAAGUUUUGGUGACCCCUUGUUUAAUACCCCAACCAGCAUAUCCUUUAUUUUUGUUUUAGUGAUAGGGUUUAAUUUAAGGGAUGUUUAGCUGCUAUUUCUGUUUAAUCAAAUGACUACAUAGAGACUCUUCCAUGCACGCUUGAAGUAAGAUUAGUUUCUUGUACUCUGUUUCUGAUUGUUGUUUCUUUGCACUAUCUUUUGAUAUCAUGUUAACCCUUUUGUUACUGUAUUUACUUUGAGAUGCUCUGUGUUUCUAUCAAUUAUUUUAAAUAUAACAAAGAAUUUAGUAAAAUAACAUAGUUAUCAUUAAGCUAGUAUUAGGAAUAUAAAUUGCGACUAAUGUUUGGUGGCAUAUUUUGAUGCAAAACUUAUGAAAACAAGACAUUUGUACUACAGAGCCAGACCGGUUUCAGCCGGGUUGGUAAUGAAAGGGUUAAUGGAGUAUUUAUAUUUAUACAUAUAAUGAAAUUGGUGCUCUCGUUGUGUCUGUCGCUAAUAUGCUUGGAGUAAGCAUGAAUGUUACACAGUUUCAUUUCUCCACACUUUCUACAUAAUCAGAGAUCUUGCAUACAGUAAAUCAAUAUUUCUUAAGUGCACAGAUAACAAGUCAUUGUAGACUUAUUGUUAGAUAUAAUCUCCAGGAAAUUUAAGCUUCAAUUAAGAAAUACAGGCACUGAUAAAUUCUCUGUAUUCUGUGUGACUGUUAUUUAUGGAAUGUUCUGAUUUCUUUUAUUCAUUUCAAAUUAUUGCCAUUGUAUGUCAAUUAUAAUGAAAUCAGAUUCAAAUCCUAGUUGAGCAAACAAAAGCAACAAUUUUGAUCUUAAUUAAAACUCAUUAAUUAUAAUUAUAGUCACACAUAAUGACACCAAGAGCUAUUAAUACAUCACAUACAGACACUGAGUUGAUGAGAGAGCUUCUGCAAGGUUGCUCCAGCUGCUAGAAAAUACCAUCCAAGCCUCUUAAAUCAAGGGCCCCAACGAUAUCAAGAGAGCAGCAUUUGGUACCAGGCUGCACAAGAAGAAUAAAUUUUAAGACUUUAUUUUAUUGACCAUUGCAAUCUAGUGGGGUUUUUUUCUUUCUUUAUAUACAAGGUGUGGUGAAUAAACUGUCGUCUAAAUUAUGCAAAAUGAAAAUAACACUAACCUCAUUUUAACAGAUAUAUUGACUGAAAUUACGUAGAAAUAUCUUGAAAUGCCAAUGAGUAAAUUUAUUCAAUAAAAUUGCUAUUGGUUUCAACCAUGGCCUCCAGAUGAUUUCAGAAUCUCUAGCAACUCUUCUGGAUGGUCUCCUUGUUUAAGUUGGUCAAUGCUGCCAUAAUCCUUGUCUUCAGUUCAUUUUUGAAGGAGUUUUGUUGGUCUCUCACUCCACUGCACCUCACACAUAAUAAUCAAGGGUGUCAGGUCUGGGGAGUUAGGUGACCAGAUGUUAGGGGUGAUGUGGUCACAGAAAUUGUCUGACAGCCAUGACUGGGUUCUCCUGCUUGUGUGUCAUGGUGGAGAGUCCUGUUGCUGAGGACAUAUGAUAAAAUUAUGAAUAUUGAAUUCAACAAAAAAAUGCAUAUACAGUAUCGCGGUUUAUUAUUUAAGCUUUCCUCUGUGGUGUUGUUUUGCAUUUAUAAUAAAAUAAAUAUAUAUAAAUUAUAAAAAUAUUAUAAAAAAUAUAUAUAGAAGAGUGGGGUUUGGAACGUAACACCCGCGAUAGUCGAGGGAUUACUGUAAUUAGUUGAUUCACCACUAUUUCCUGUGGAACACUAGAAUUCCGAGACUACCAUUUGGGAAACGCUGAAUUAGACUACACUUCAUUAAUGAGGUUUAAUAAAGUCGAAACAUGGCAGGGGCUGUCAGUUACUGUUCAUGGUCAAACUCAUAACUGCAUUCCUUAUUGAAUAUUAAGCUUAGUUAGAAUUCAAAAAUUACCUUGCUCUGCUUUUUUAUUUUUAAACAUAGUUAUUUAGAAAAUUCUUAUUCUCAUCUGAAGAAAAUUGUGUUUAUAUAAUUUUAAUUAAUUUGCAUCUUCCUGACUUACGACUAGCCCCCACCUCUGUGCCUAUAGUAGAAAGGUUUAUUAUUCUUAGCUGUUGUUUUAGAGCAGCCUUUCUUUUUCCAAGCACUGGAAAUGGAAAAGUAUCCGAAUUGAGUUUAUGGUGUAUAAAAGACAUUAGCUGCUGGAUAAUCGUUUAGAAAGAACGCCAUUCACAAUUGUUAGUAAGAAGGAUGGCAUAGUUUAUACAAAUAAAUAUUGGCUUUCAAACGGAGGAAGUCCUGCCUCUAACAGUAAAGUGUGAAAAGCUGUAGGUGAUGAUGUCUUUCAAUUUACUUCGUUUUUGAGGAAAAGUCAGUAAGACAGCACAAACGUAAUUAUUUACACCAGGAUUUGUCUUGCUGUUUUCCUUGCCUCAAUAUUUAAAAAAAUUUCCUCUAAUACAUUUUUAGCUCUCAAACUGCACUUCUCUCCGACACACGGAAACGAGAGGAAAUUAAGAGUAAUGAUGGAAACUAUUUCAAGUAAACUUUUCGCACGUGUACUUUUACAUUCAAUGUGGUAUCAUUUAAAUUGAAACAAUAAUGGAAAAUGUACAAAAAUAACUCUGCUAUCCUGGAUGACCGAAACGAAUAAGUUAAUACUUCAAAAUAGGCUUUUUUUUUCAGUGCCCCUCCUCUUUUAAUAAUAAGAAUAAUGGGAUCUUUUCGGUUUGAACGGCAAUUUUUUCUAGCGGUGUCAUAUGAAAUUGUCACCCUUAAUUAUGACCCUAGUAUCGAUCUAUUGCAUUUAAAUCUGUUUUAGGGUUAGGGUUAGGGGUGUUGGGAAGGGUAUCUUUUUUUCUUCACAAAUGUAAAUAAACCCAAUCUGUUUCUUAAACGAGGGACAUAUUCAUAUGGCACAAUGUUUUUUUACCUCAAAAGACGUCAGCGAUUGGUUGAAAUUGCAGAAAUUGAAGAAAAAAAACAACAAAUAUCUUAGAAACUAUAGAAUUUUCUCAAUAAAGCCAAGAGAAAAAGAUGUUUUAUAAACACAUUCUACCAGUAUACGAAGUUUAAAAUUUUUUAGUUACCUAGAAAUUAUGUCAAAACUGCCGUUCAAACCGAAAAGAUCCAAAUAAUGAUGACUUCUUUCCUUCUCUGAGUGUCUUAUUAAUACUUUGCAUGUACCACGUCAUCGCAUUGUUUUUUCUGCUAUAUACAUACAUACAUAUAUAUAUAUAUGCAUGCAUAUAUAAACACUGGGCAAGGCGAAACUGGAUAAGUGUUCUCUUAAUGUCAACACAAAUAUCAUCUUCGGGUUGCUUGUUGAGUUCUUUGUGCUUAGCAAAACAAUAACCAGCACAAACACACAUCUUUCUCAAUAAUAUAUUAUAUAUUAUGAAUUCGUAUGACCUCUGUAAGUCACAACGUUUUCCUUGUGUAACUAUAUAAUUAAUUCUUUGGAAAGGUACGAAGUUUCACACCCUGAGCGAAGAUCUUGGAAAUCUUGGCAUUCGUUCAUCUAUUAAAACGGAGGAAAGCAUUCAUAGAUAUAUUCAAAAGCAAUCCAAUUACGACCGUUCUCUUCUUUUCUUUUUCUCGAUACAAUGUAUCUGAGACUUUUAUCUAGUAUAUAUUUAGUUUUUUAUGACAGUAACAUAUGUUUUGAGGGAGAUUCACUGUACUGUUUGUAUCAAGUCGUGAGACCACAUUGUGUGUCCUUUAAUUUGUUCGCUAAAAUGGGAACACAGUUUUAGUGAUCUUUGGCUAGUUCCAUAUGAAUACAUUGAAAAAUUGUUUAGAUUUCUUAAAACCUGUUGCUCUUUCUGUUUGGUUUGAUCUCUAGAGACAUUAAUAAUCUUCUUUUGUCUAACCGUUUAAUAGCACAAUUAACGGUAUCAUUAAGCCGGUGGCUUUAAUCCGGCUUAAUUUAUCUAUUUAAGCUAGGAUUACAUAUUUUAAAAAUUAUUUUGUAAUUGCUCUUGAAGUCUCUGUUGUCAUAUGACUUGCUAGAAAUACUAGCCAAAUCUCCCUCAAAUCACACCAUAGUGUCAUAACGAAAAAGAGUAGGAUUGGGACCUUUUCGGUUUGAAAGGCAGUUUUUAGCAUAAUUUCUAGGUAACUAAAAAAUUUUAAACUUCGUAUACUGGUAGAAUGUGCUUAUAAAACAUCUUUUUCUCUUGGCUUUAUUGAGAAAAUUCUAUAGUUUGUAAGAUAUAUUUGUUGUUUUUUCUUCAAUUUCUGCAAUUUCAACCAAUCACUGACGUGUAUUGAGGUAAAAAAACCAUUCUGUGCCAUAUGAAUAUGUCCCUCGUUUAAGAAACAGAUUGGGUUUAUUUACAUUUGUGAAGAAAAAAAGAUACCCUCCCCCACCUAACCCUAACCCUAAAACAGAUUGAAAUGCAAUAGAUCGAUACUAGGGUCAUAAUUAUGGGUGACAAUUUCAUAUGACACCGCUAGAAAAAACUGCCGUUCAAACUGAAACGAUCCUAGGAUUGUAUUAGAGAAUGUAGAACACAAUAUAUAUUAUCUUGUCUUUCACAAUGACGUGGGAUUGUCUUUCAUGACUAUUUGGCUCGGUCAUUUCAGAUCUGGCGCUAACCCGUUUUGUUUCCUCCUUUUUAAUGCCCUUUAUUAUUGGUAUAUGUGAAGGAGACAGCCACCGUUUCAUCAGAUUGUGUUAUAUCUGUCGCUUUAAAGGUGAGAGGGUAGUGGUUGUGAAUGGUUAUUAAUGACAAUAGUGAUUUUGUUUGUGACACCAAGAAAAAAAUGUUGCUUUGGUUCAGGUCAGCUCUAUUUUGGUGUGUAUAUCAGAGUCUGCAUUUCAAUGUAUCCUUGUUUAUGUAAGAUAGUUGGGUGUGGGAUCUUUUCGGUUUGAACGGCAGUUUUUUCUAGCGGUGUCAUGUGAAAUUGUCACCCAUAAUUUUGAUCCUAGAAGCGAUCUGUUGCAUUUCAAUCUCUUUUAGAGUUAGGGUUAGGGGUGGGGGAAGGGUAUCUUUUUUCUUCAUGAAUGUAAAUAAACCCAAUCUGUUUCUUACACGAGGGACAUAUUCAUAUGGCACAGAAUGUUUUUUUUUUACCUCAAUGGAUGUCAGUGAUUGGUUGAAAUUGAAGUAAAACAACAACAAAUAUCUUACAAACUAUAGAAUUUUCUCAAUAAGGCCAAGAGAAAAAGAUGUUUUAUAAACACAUUCUGCCAGUAUAGAAAGCUUAAAAUGUUUUAGUUACCCAGAAAUUAUGUUAAAAACUGCCGUUCAAACCGAAAAGAUCUGGGGAAUGUUGCCUAGUUGAGAUCCUCGGUCGUAUGUACAGAACAAUUGGGCUCUUUAUAACGCAAUGGAAUUUACCGAGGAUGUUAUUUGAUAUCCGAUAGGAAGGAUUCUUAUGUUUACGCUACAUAUAUGCUUGCGAAAUUGUGAACCAUUUUUAAAGUUUUGUUGAUCCAAUGAUGAGAGCAUCCAUACUCAAGUGUAUAGAAAGGCAGUGGAUAUUUGCCAGAAAAAAAAAAAAAAUCAUGUGACAAUGCAAGACGAUCGAUGCACUAUUAACAUUGUAUCUGCAUGGGUAUAAAUUGCAAAAUAAGUUUCGAGCCCGCUAGAAAUUUAUUUGUACACUUUAUGCAUACUUUUCAUGUUAUAUGAAUAUAAUGAAAUGGGAUUCUACUGUCAUCACAGCAAUCUUUUGGUAUACCAUAUUUUCAGUUGCUCGAUAAGAUAAUGUAAAUAGUAUAACGAAUAGUCUAAGUAUAGGCUGCUUUCUUCUAUCAUAGUUCGACAUUUCUCAUGGCACCAGCAGAUAAAAUGGAAAAGGUGUUGCCCCGGAGAAUAGCGAAGGAGAUGCGCUGGAACAGCCACUGACUUACGAGGACUUGCACUUGCGAUCAGCAAUCUCCGCCGCAAUAGGGGUGAGCAGGGAUAUGGUCUUGGAGCCAUGGACGCCAGAGCUCUCAGAUGUUACAGACUUGACCAUAAACCUGUCAGAGAGCGACUGAUACCAUAACAGUUUGUCUUUUCUCAGUCUGACGAGCAGCGGAGCCUGGGCUGGAGAAGGUGUCACAGCAUCUAGAAUCCCAGAUGAGGGGCCUACCGCAUCGGAACGGAAAAACUGUUAUACUGUCUGGCAGUUUACUGUCCCCUCGGUCUAUCCCCGUUGGCUCGAGCUGGGAAGGGAAGCUUACAGCAUCUCGGUUCUGUUUUAUGAUCUUGUCAAGGGUGUCAUGAUGUGGGAGGUGAUCAGGACUAUGACGGCAGGACACUGUGGGUGGAGGCUAAAAUAAUCCACUGCACAUCCGCAGCGGCAUUCAUGAGGCUCGCAGAUCUGGAGACCAAGCCUCAGAUAAACGCCAAUGUCCAGGCGGUCACUAUCUUUUCGUAUUAGUAAGAUGACGUCAUUUACCAUCUUUUUCAGUUUAGCUUCUUAAUGUCAUCUGGGAAACUAAUGACCUAUGAUUCCCGUCAUCACUUUUGGCUUCUAUAGCAAUUUACCUCUAAUUUUUUAAAGGACACUAAACUUCAUAUUAACUCUGCUUUGAUCAUAAGCUUACUCAGUCAUGGUUGAUCUGGUAUUUAGCACCACUAACAACAAUAACCGUCAGCUGUAUGCUGUUUCAAAGUAUGACAGUUAAUUUCUCAAAUGGCUACAAUUCACAAGCAAAAUAGGAACUACCUGUCACUAUUAGCGGUAGUAACACUAUAAAACUGUCGAAUGUUGAGAUUAUGAUAUUGAAAAAAAUUCUUUUUCGAAAAUACCAAUUUUUUCCUUCACAUGCCGGUUGCUUACGAUAUUUCCUCCACUUUCUUUCUGUGAUCAGUAACCGAAAGAAUAUAAUAGAUAACUGUACGUAAAUAAUUAUAUCCACGAAUGUUUAUCACAGCAUACAUAAUCAGUUUUCAGAUAAUAAUUUUAUUCAUUUCGAUUAAAGCAAAGCAGAUUUAAAUAAUAUAAUGACACAUCAAUAAGAUUACUCAUGGCCAUAAUAAAGCAAUUCGUGCAUGAAGUUUUGCUAAUGACAAAAAGCCAUAUGUGAUGCGAGAACCACAGUUUAGGUGACAGCUGGUCUGUAUUAAGAAUGUCCAAGUAGAUUAUUUGAGUUUCUUUGGCAGAUAAGCAAAAUACCUGGAAAUGUUCACCAGUCUUGUUAUUACACGUUAAUUAGCAGAAACUACUUUUGCAUUAAAAAUUUCCAUGCGAGCAUAUAUCAUAGUUUAGUGAAUGACCUCAAAUAAGCUCGUUAAUUUAUUUUCUUAUUAUAUAUAAAAAAAAAAAAAAUGUUUAAUCAUGCAUCUCAAUCUGUUUGUUUGGAGAACAGGAUUUUAUAAAUGAGAUUAAUUUAACAAUGAUGAAGAAUUCUAAAGAAAAUUAAGGGUAGCCUGUUGCUUUUAGUUCAUCAUCUGCUUUAUUUAAAACUAGCAGCAUAGCCCGGCGUUGCCUGGGUAUGUAAGGGCCCCUAGUAGGCAACGACUAAUCCCAAUCUAGUCCUUUCCCUCUAGGGAACAAAGGCGCAUGUGUAGGUUGCAAUGUCUUCUCUUCAUUCGAAUACUUCUGUGUAUUCGAUGUUCCUAGCUGUCCCUUUGGGCGAAAACAUGAAAACAUCAUUGCGCCUCCCAACGCGUGAACAGCCCACGUACAGCCCAGAAAAUGUUUUGAAUAUAAAAAACUUAGAUUCUCGACCCCAUGUCGAUUUUUUUUCAGAACUGGGGGAACUUUUCAAAAUUUUCGCUGCGUUAGUUUUGAAUUAUGACAUUGGGCUAUGUGUGUGUCAAGUUUCAUCAGAAUCGGUUGAAAGCCGUGGUCAGAGUGAGGGUACAACCUGACAGACACACAGACAGACAAACUGCCAUUUAUAUAGAGAGAGAUUUACAUGGAACACAACGGUUCCAAGGAAAGAAGGUUGAGUGUUUUGCAGAUUUCUGUUCUUAGUGGGUGAAUGUGUGUUCCAAGAGGAGUAAAAAUAUAUGAGUUUGAUAGUGUGAGUCUGCUAGUGUGAGUGGAGACCGGGCAUGGUUAACCGUUUUCGAGAAGCGGGCUGUACUACUAAAAAAUUGAAGGUAAUUUUUCAUUAGACAUGCUGUUCAGAAAGCCCCAUAGAUUGCCUAUGUCUGGUGCAAGACGGUUCUUUUUGCUACAUAGCAUUUGGUCAGUCAUAAUUGAGGAGACUCUGCUAAAGGCAAGAAUUUGCUGCUCUCACGUCACUAAGUUCUUGACAAUUCAUAUUGCCAUCCAAGCUCUCUCUUUUGUUUUCAGAGCUAGUCUCUUAUUGUGCUCCAGAACAAAUCUGAUGAGAUAGAUCUGUAAUGAUGUCGUCACUAGAUUUCAUUUGUGUUUAUCGGCCAGAUUUUGGAUCUUUACCUUUUGACCGACAGAUUUAAAAAAUAAUUUUUUGUAACGAAACACUUUCAAACUUCGGACACUGGUAGGAUGUGUCAUAUAAAAUUAUCUAUUACUCUUAACAUUUUUGAGAAAAGGUUAUAUUUACCAAGUUAUUUCACGUUAAAGUUGUCGUAUUUCGGUAAUUUCAACCAAUCAGUGAUGUGUAUUCAGCUGAAUAAGAAUACUGCUGUUGUCAACAAGGACUUCUGGCAGUGUAUAUUUCGUUUGUCACUGUUAUUUAUGACAACCCUAACCCUAAAACCUUAAAGCUAAAACCAAUACAAACGCACAAAUGAUGUCGUAAAUAACAGUGACAAACGAAAAAUACACCGCCAAUAGUUAUUGUUGACAAACAACAGUAGUAAUUUUAUUCAGCUGAAUACACGUCACUGAUUGGUUGAAAUUACCGAAAUACGAGAACUUUAACAUGAAAUAACUUCGUAAAUAUAAGUUUUUCUUAAAAAUGCUAAGAGUAAAAGAUGCUUUAUAUGAUGCAUUCUGCCAGUGUCCAAAGUUUGAAAGUGUUUAGUUACAAAAGAUUAUUUUUUAAAGCUGUUGGUCAAUAGGUAAAGAUCCCAAAUGAAUUUUCUGUGAAAAUAAAGAGGUAUGGUUAUGACUGGGAUUCCAUGGCUUAUAUUCGAGCGAGACCAGUGUUGUUGUGAGGGUUCUUUGUGCUUGAGUGCAAAUACUAGAUUGGCGCCCCCAUUUUUAAUUAACAAGCAUGGUAGGCAAGAGAAAAAUUUAUAACCCUUCACGCAUCCUACCCUGAGGUAGAGGGGAAAGACUUCUCCCUCCUCGUCUCCUUGCUAGGGGUCUUAUCACAGCCAGUCAGCUCAAACUCACUUAACAUAAAAAAAAAAAAAAUUGGCAAGACUUCCUUUUGUACCCCACAAAAAAACACCCCCUCUAUUUAUUUAUUUUUCUACACAAACCCUCGUUUUCGGCUACAGAGAAAAAAAAAUUGGCAUUUUAAAAUUACCCACUGCCUAUGUUCUUCAUUUUUAACUUUUUCAGAAUUUUUUUUUUUUUUUUUUUUCAAAAUAUGGAGAAUAUGGAUUCUGAAAAGAAUUACCAAAACUUUUUGUGGUUACGGUUAGGGUUUUAGAAUUAGGGAAAAAAGUGAAAAAUGAAGAAAUUGGGAGGGGUGGGGCGAAAAUUUCAAAAUGCUGGUUUUUGGCAAUUUUCCGGAAUCUCCGUAUCCGAAAACAGGGGUUUUGGACACAAAAAAAAAAUUGUGGAGAAAAUGGUGGUGGGGUAAGUCUUCCCCAAAAAAUUAUUCACAAACAAAAGCCAAUCUAUAGAUAUAUUUUCUACUUAAAAAAAAAAAGAAAGGUAGGUAGUGGUGGUCAUUUUGUUGAAUACGUAUGCAAACAAUAACUUCUGUUACGAAACAGAAAGCGACCACAUAGAUAUAUGUUGAACUUGUCGAAUGUCUACAAAAAUUCUGAAGUACUUUGUUUUAUUGUUUAAAAAAUGUAUUAUAAAACAGUAAUUAAGUUGGUUUAAUUAGCCUUAGUAGUCACAGACUCCCACAUUUGCUCAAAAAGUAUUAUUUACACUACGCGUGUGAAAUUGCUGAAUGUCUACAAAAAUUCCAAGAUGAGCUAUUUUGUCUCUAAAACAUAUCAGAAAAUGGUAAUUAACUCAGAUUAAUCUUAGUGUCCACUUCCGUAAGAUGAGGAUUUAUUUGUAAACUGGGUGACUAGCAUGUCGUUGUAUACGUUGUACAUUCGACAAUGUUUCUCUUUCUCGAAGUUUCUAUAAUAUUGCUUGGAUCUUUUCGGUUUGAACGUCAGUUUUUAACAUAAUUUCUAGGUAACUAAAAAAUUUUUAAACUUCGUAUACUGAUAGAAUGUGUUUAUAAAACAUCUUUUUCUCUUGGCUUUAUUGAGAAAAUUCUAUAGUUUGUAAGAUAUUUGUUGUUUUUUUUCUUCAAUUUCUGCAAUUUCAACCAAUCACUGACGUCUAUUGAGUUAAAAAACAUUCUGUGCCGUAUGAAUAUGUCCCUCGUUUAAGAAACAGAUUGGGUUUAUUUACAUUUGUGAAGAAAAAAAAGAUACCCUUCCCCCACCCCUAACCCUAACCCAGAUUGAAAUGCAAUAGAUCAAUACUAGGGUUAUAAUUAUGGGUGACAAUUUCAUAUGACACCGCUAGAAAAAACUGCUGUUCAAACCGAAAAGAUCCUAAUAUUGCUUUCCAGUUUUACGGGUAGGUAUUAUUUUAUCGAUCUCAAAAGGAUGAAAGGCAAAGGGCAAAAAUAAAGGAUACAUACACCGGAUGGUUAGGGUUUUGUUACGCUGAAAACGGGUGGUGUACGUAUUCUUUACCUUCGCCAGGCAGAGUUGACCUCAGUGGAGUUUGAGCUUAGAAUAUGAAGAUGGAUGAAAUGCCGCUAAGCAUUUUGGCAAUAGCGUAUCUUUCAGUUUUUACGUAACUUCGGUAUAAGUACCGGAUACAUUUCAAGAAAGUGUUUUUUUUAUAUAUGGGGGGUUAGGGUUAGGAGUGGAAGAAAAGGGUUUCUGUUAUCUUCAGAAAUGUAAAUAAAGUCACGUGUGUACUUAUACCGAAGGUUCGCCCUUAUUUCUUAUAAGCAAACAUAUAGGCAAACUUAUUUCUUUGUUAAACCUAGUUUCUUUUACCGAAACGCUAAUAUAGCGUAAACACACUAACACUGGAGGUUGAGGACACACACUAUAUCUUCGGCUUAAGGAUAUAGAAGACACUCACUCAAGGUGUCAUGCAGUGGCACUGAACCUGACAUCAUAUAGUUGGAGAGCAAACCUCUAACCACACAGCUGCACCUGUGUAUGUAUGUAUGUAUGUAUGUAUGUGCGUGUGUGUGUGUGUGUGUGUGUAUGUAUAUAUAUAUAUAUAUAUAUAGAUAUAUAUAUAUUGUUUGUUCCUUCUCGAGCCACGCCUGGCUCAUUAGGGCCGAUUUCCUUGGCAUAUAGGUUCCCCAUCUGGACGGGAAAGAGUGAGAGAAAGUUGUGGCGAAAGAGUCAGCAGAAGUUCACCAUUACCUUCUGCUGAAGCCGCAUGGAGCGUAGAUGUUUUGCUCAUAAACACACAUUGUCCAGUCUGAGAUUUGAACCCGUGAUACCUACACACACACACACACACACACAUAUAAAUUUAUUAAGUAACGAGAAGAUAGAUUUGGUACUAAUCUUUAUUUUGUACAAUAGUCGUUUCGACAGAUCCUGCUAUUGUCCCUUAUGGGUGGGACUCCGUUCAACAUGUAAAAAUCUACGGGGGAAUAUAACUCAAAUGGGCCAAAGGCAUGAAUUUAUGCAAAUGAAAGUGUUAUGUACUGAAUGACGUACACGCCAAAAAAAAGGCCGUAAUUAAUUGAUAUUUGCCUGUUUAUACAUGUAAUCUUGUGGUUGAAGUAAAUCAAUUGAAAAUUUGAAUUGGCUCAUAAACGGACAUGUUCACUUGUUAUACGUGUUGUGUGUACAUUAGCAUGAUCACUUUAUUUUUAUCUGCACUCUCUCAUACACUUACACACACCUACAGACACUGCUGCACCCACACACUCAUACUGAUACUUAUACACACACACAUACACUGAUACAUGUAUACAUUGAUUCGAAAUUCAAGCACACACACACUGUUAUUAACUAACUCACAGUACAAAAGUAAUGUGAAGGAAUUAUACAAACACCAGAGCAGAAAAUUGGUGAGUGAAGGAAAGAGGAAGAAAAAAGAAAAAAAAAAAACAAAAAAACUCCUAGAAUCCAACACGUUAAUCAUUUAAACUGAAACAGUCUGUAGGUCAAGAUGUCGCGAUUUCCGGUUUCUGAUAAUGAUAAUUUGGUCUGGAAGCUUUUCAAAGAGAAAACAUUCUCGUUUUUCUUUUCUUUUUUUUUUUGAUAUAUAUAACUACAUGUGACUAACUGAAUAAUAACAUAUCACAGAAUAUCAAGUGUAUAAUAAACAUAUAAAAGAGUCUCUUUUGCUUGUCAUACAUUUAUAUUUUCAUUUAGCAAACAUUUUAAAAUUUAGAACUCUGAAGAAAUUUUGGUGUUAGGAGUGGAGAAGAUUUUGUGUAAAGUGAGGUCUUGUUUAAAAGAUUCCCCAACAACCAGAAUUUUUUCAAAUAAUUCUCAGUUUUUUGAAAUUUUUAAUUUUCUAUGCCACAGCUCAGUUAUGUGGUAAGAAGCUUGCUUCCCAACCACAUGGUUCUUGGUUCAGUCCCACUAUGUGACACCUUGGGCAAGUGUCUUCCACUGUAGCUUCAGGCUGACCAAAACCUUGCGAGUGGAUUUGGUAGAUGGAAAUUGAAAGAAGUCCAUCGUAUAUAUAUAUAUAUAUAUAUAUACUCUUUUACUUGUUUCAGUCAUGUGACUAUGGCCAUGCUGGAGCACUGCCUUUAGUCGAGCAAAUUGACCCCAGGACUUAUUCUUUGUAAGCCUAGUACUUAUUCUAUCGGUCUCUUUUGCAGACUCACUAAGUUACAGGGACGUAAACACACCAGCAUCAGUUGUCAAGCGAUGUUGGGAGGACAAACACAGACACACAAACACACAAACAUACACACUCACACACACACACGUAUCUAUAAAUACAUACAUACGAUGGGCUUCUUUCAGCUUCCAUCUACCAAAUCCACUCACGAGGAUUUGGCCAGCCCGAGGCUAUAGUAGAAGACACUUUGCCCAAGGUGCCAUGCAGUCAGACUGAACCAGGACCCAUGUGGUUCAUAAGCAAGCUACUUACCACACAGCCACUCCUACACCUUUAUAUAUAUAUACAUAUAUAUAAAGGUGUAGGAGUGGCUGUGUUUGUCCCACUCCAUCCCUGUUUAAGUCUCCACAACUUAGUGGUUCAGUGAAGGAGAUGAUAGAAUGAAUACUAAGCUUGAGAAAAAGAAAUAUGUACUGGGGUCAGUUCAUUUGACUAAAAAUUCUUCAAGCCAGUGCCCUAGCAUGGCCACAGUCUAAUGACUGAAAUAGGUAAAACACAAAAGAUGUGUAGUAUUGUAUACUGAUAAAAAUCACAUUCAUUUUCUUUAGAAAUUAAUUAUUCUUUCUAAUUUUGGCACAAGGCUUUUUUAUUACACAUAUGUAUCUAUGACAAAUAGUACACUUCAUCUCUAAUAGCUCUCACCUUCAUACAUACACACACACAUUAUAUAUAUAUAUAUAUAUAUAUAUAUAUAUAUAUAUAUAUACAUACAUGCAUAAUUGCAUAAUACAAACACACACACACUCACAUACACACACACACACACUCACAUAUAUACAAACACACUUUAGUAUAUAUGGUGGAGAUUCUGAAAUCAUCUGGAGGCUAUGGUUGAAACCAAUAGCAAUUUUAUUGAAUAAAUUUACUCAUUAGCAUUUCAAGAUAUUUCUACGUAAUUUCGGUAAAGAGUGGAAAAAGUCAGUUACAAGACUCCAGCACUCAAUUGGUAUCUAUUUUAUUGACCCCCAAAAGGAUGAAAAGCAAAGUCAACUUUGGUGGAAUUUGAACUCAGAAUUUAAAGACAGAUGAAAUGCUGCUAAACUUUUUGUCCAUGCAAAUGCUUGAAUGAGAUGAACCCAGCAUGCUCUGCUGGGUGUGUAAUGUUAGUGUGCAUGUAUGAUAAAGUAUUUUAAGAGAGAAAUCUUUAUAUAUAAAAUUCAAGUUGUGUGUGUGAGACUCAGUCUCCUCCGAUUUAGAUUCCUAACUACUCCAUUUUGCGGUGCAUUUUAACCAAAAGCGGGUAUCUUAUAGUCGUUAUUCAUAUCGAGCCCUUCUGGGUAGCGUGUGUCUACGAUGUAAAAAAAAAUUUACCAUAAAUUUUCUGCAUUUUUAAUGAUUUUUGCUUGGGUUAUAUAAGGGAAGUAACUCUCUAAAAAUGCUUAUAUAGUUAUUUCCCUUACAAACCCGAGCAACGCCGGGCGAUACUGCUAGUUGGAUAUAAGAAGCAUCAGAUGUAGUUUGCAAGAGGGGACUAUGCUAGUAUGGUUAUAUGAUGCGUAUGAAUAAAGACAGCUGCAUAAAGAAGUGUCGGUCUCUAAAUGUAAAGGGAACUUGUGGAAGUCAAAGGCCCAGGAAGACAUGAGAUGAAGUGGUGAGAAAUGAUCUUCAGGUAAUUGAGUCUCACAGAGUAGAUGAUGAAAUAUUGAGAUAAAUGGCAAGAUGCUGGAGAAAACCUACCCAGCGAAGUAAAAUGCAUAUUCAUGAGUCCCCUCUCUCCCAACCCACCCAUGCUCACCACUGCUGUUUCCCUACUUCUCCAUUCUCCCUCAUGUGUUUACCAGCCUACCUGCACACAAUAUACUCCUGUUAAAUCCCUUCCCUUCACCUCCAGCUUUCACUCUCCUUUUGAAAUUCUGUGAACCCACUCACCUAUACACCCCCUUGAAUCCCUAGUUCACUCACCUUAUACACCAUCCUGUAAUUUGGAUAUACAGCUUCUGCCCCCACUUUGUCACAUCUUCACCACCUUUCUCUCUUCUUUUCUCCAUCAAAGGAAGCCAUCUCUCUUCUAACACAAGGCACCUUUCUCUCCCUCUAUAUUUACCCAUAACCAGUUGAUGACCUUACUGCUGCUGGUGUCAUGUGAAAAGGCCCCAGUACAUUCUGUUAAAUGGUUGACAUUAGGAAGGGCAUCCAGCCAUAGAAACCAGGCCAAAACUAUCAAGGAUAUUCAAAAUGUGACUAUUCUAGUGUUUUGACCAUCUCAAUCCUGUUUUUGGAAACAUCCUGUGCCUGUCCCACCUUUGAAAAUCCCUUGUUGGUUUGUUUAUCUCCUGAUAACUUAAUGAUUCAAAAAGUGACUGAUUCAAAAAGUGACUGAUAGAAUAAGUACUAGGUACAUGGACUCACUCUCUCUGCCAAAUUGACAUGGGUACAGUAUGCUACAUGGUCGAGGUGAUUGCAGAGCAAUAUGAAAUGAAGUGUUUUGCUCAAGAAUGCAAUGCACCAUUUGGUCCAGGAAUUGAAACCGUGAUUUUGUGAUUGGCAUGAAACAUCGUAACCACUAGGCCAUGCAUCCUUAGCAAAAGACAAGAUGGGAAAACUUGGAAUGUGAGAUGGUUACAGUUAGACUGACUACUUUUCAAAAAGAAAUAAAUAAAUAAGACGAGCACUCAGUACAAACCUUUGUCAAGGCAACACCAACAUCCUUUCAACGAUUAGCCAGAGGUGAUUUUUAAAAUGAGAAUAUCUGAAAUAAACCCAACUGCUCUUACAAAUGAGAAUACUAAAAAUGAACCUGACCGCUCUCAAAAAUUAAGUAAAAAAACAGGAAAAAUAAUUCAGAAUCUUUGUAUGGUUCCAGGUCAACCCCAAAAUCUAAUCAGUUUGUGCCAGACAUGAGGCCAAACAAGUUUCAUUUGAAUCCAUCCGGCGGUUCUUGAGAAAUCUUGUCCAUGGACAAACAAACAAACAAACCUCCUUAGCAAAGGCAGAGAUAAUAGAACGAAAGACUGAUCAUGGCUGGAACUCUUAAAUAUAGAUGGGAUAGUUGUAUUUGGAAUGCUUUUGAAGGAAGGUCAGACAUUCAGAAAGAUACAUAUUUUUGUGCAUCUGUGCACUGACAUCCAUAUACAUGCUCAAAUAAAUCGGACACUUUGUUUUCCAUUUUGAAAAUGUUUUUGUUUCAGUACAGUAAACUUUACAUGCCAUGUGUUCAAACAAUAGAUAUUGUUUUUAAUUAUUCACAAGAUGCACAUCUUUUUUAAGUAGCAAACUCAUCUGUGAAAGAAAUCUGAAGAUGCAAUCAUAAGUCAACAGUCUUGUAACCUUUUUUUAGCUUUGUAAACUGAGAUUAUAUCUGAUGACAAAACAGACUGUUAUUUUUAUCGUUAUACACUCAACUGAAUAGAUGUUCUGUGUGGUUGUCAUUGACUUUUAAUUGCUAUCACGUUAAACAUUAAGAGAAUAAAAUAACUUAAACAUAAUGUAAUUCUGAUUUUUUUUUUAUUCAAGCUAUGAAUACUGACCAUAAAGCAAGCUAUUAUGUUUAAAAGAAUUUUAUUAGGUUAUUGUCUGUUCAAGAAAAAAAAAAAACACAGAAUCAUCAUCAUCAAUCCUUGGACAUUAUUGUCUCGAGUUCUAUGACUCACAUGGCUGAUGACCUGGUUUCCAUGACGUUUAAAUGACAGAUCACAGCAUUCCUCUGAACUGGAAUGCUAGUCUGUCUCAGGGUUGCCCAUUUACAGAUUAGUUGACUGGUAGGUAGUCCAUCAGUGACCAUCACUCAGCAAUCAGAGUGGAAGUGACUCCCACAGUCCAAAGCUGGAAGCACACAGGCACUCACAGAUGUCACAGCGAUAGUCUGUUGACUGGAUUGAGGCAGAUGCUUCCGUAUGUCACAGGGAAGCAUCUGCCCCAACUUUGUCACGUCUUCUGCAGCGUCGAGACACUUGCCAGUUCUCUUCGAAGGCAACUACUGCUCGUAAAGCGAGAGACCUCCUCGCUGAUCUGUCUGUGGCAGAGGCUUCAAGUUUAUUGGUGUGAAUGCUGGUUUUCAUAGUAUUUUUGUACUUCACUUUAGGUCUUCCUCGUUUGUGUGAGCUUGCUGUAUAACAGCUGUCUGAUAACAUGGCUAGUCCAGUGUAGCUAAACCUUCAGCAACAUUAACUGAAUGCUUGGUGAACAAGCUCUGUCCAGUGUGGAGGCACAUGGCCUAGUGGUUAGAGCAGUGGACUCGCGGUCGAGGGAUCGCGGGUUCAAAUUGCAGACCAGACAAUGUGUGUGUUUAUGAGCGAAACACCUAAGCUCCACGCGGCUCCGGCAGAAGGUAAUGGCAAAACUUCUGCUGACUCUUUUGCCACAACUUUCUCUCACUCUUCCCUCCUGCAUCUUGCAGCUCAUCUGCGACGGACCGGUGUCCUGUCCAAGUGGGGAACCUAUGCGCCAAGGAAACCGGGAAACCGGCCCUUAUGAGCCAGGCAUGGCACGAGAAGGAACAAACAACAACAAAGAAAAAAGCUCUGUCCAGUACUUCUUGGUUUGUCACACUGUCUUGCUAACAAAUGCCUAUAAUUGUGAGUUGACUAGAGCAAUGUGAAAUGGAGCGUUUCACUCAAGAACACAACACACUCGCCAGUUCAGGAAUAGAACCACAAUCAUGCAUUCAUGAGUGCAACAUCCUAACCACUAAGCCAUGAACUUUCACUAUGGUAUUCUAUCUUGAUGCAAAAAUAAAUUAAUUGAAUAAAAUUAAAAAAAUAACAUGGGGUGGAUAUAGACAUCUUCAAAACAAAAUAGGAUCUUCCCCUGUCAAGGGUUCUAGAUGAACCUACCUCAAAGCAAGAAACACAGAUCAGGGUGCCAACAUCAAACUCCCUCAUUCACCAAAUGCCACAUAUCAGAAAUAGUGAAAGUGUAGUAAAGCUAAUGGCAGUACUCCAGUAUAACUGCAGUUCUUGAACUGAAACUAGUAAAAGUAGAGUAAAAGAUGUGGAGAUAGAUUUACAGAUAAAGUUUCUUUGUCUCAAGUAUUUGAUAUAAUACAUGGUUUUGAUAAAGGAUUAGAAUAUGUACAUGUGUACAAGAACAAAAGAUUACAUGCAUAGCAUGUGUGUGUGUGUGUAAUUGCUAUAAGUUGGUAACCUUCCUGAAGAGCCUGGUGAGUUAUGGAAACUGGUUUCAUUUCAUAUUUCCUUAUUCUUGCAUCUAACAGGUUCCAACUGUUGUCAAUGAUAUCAAUAGCUCGGAGUGAGUGGGUUCCGACAGGUUUAAUUUGCCUUCUUGAUAUGUUUCAAAAAGUCAGUCAUCAAUGGUUUGUUCAAUAAGCCAUUAAAGAAUUUGAGAUAUUUUGUGUGUGUGUGUACUCAAGCUACUUUUGUGCUGUGUAUUUCUAUAUUGUUAAAUUUUCUUACCUACUUCAGUUUGAAGUGGUUACUAUAUAAUGACUAAUUAUAAAGGAAAGACUAAAGUAAAAUACCUUGGGAUGUGUUCUGCAUGAAAACCAAGUGGUAAGGUUGGUGCUAAUGUACUUAAUGUUGUGGAUUAAGAAUUGCAAAUUAAUUGCAAUUACACCCAAGGAGAAAUAAUUUUUGGCUUUAGUAAUUAAAUAUAAAGCAAAAUGGAAAAGAAAGUGAAAGGAGACAAUUCCAACAUUGUAGUUAAAGCAAGAAAAAAAAAAAAAAGCGGGGAGGAGAUAGACAAUCCCACCAUUUUGGAAUGUUGGCAGUAUAAUGGGAAAUGAUUCAAGAUUCGGCCAUCAUCAUCAUUAUUCCAUGCUGGUAUGGACUGGAGAGGUUUUCCAAGACGGUGUUUCAUGGCCAGAUACCCUUUGUGUUGCGAAUGCUUUUUUUAGUUGUCUCUUACAACACACAGGAAUGUGGUGUACCUAUUAUAAGGCUGGGAUAGGUGCAUGCAUUGCUGUGUAGUUGAGAAGUUUGCUCUCCAACCGAGUGCUUCGGAGUUCAGUCCUGUUGUGUGGUACCUUGGGCAAAGCCUUGUGAGUGGAUUUGGUAGUAGGAUACUCUUACUCUUUACUCUUUAUUUGUUUCAGUCAUUUGACUGCGGCCAUGCUGGAGCACCGCCUUUAGUCGAGCAAAUCGACCCCAGAGCUUAUUCUUUGUAAGCCUAGUACUUAUUCUAUUGGUCUCUUUUGCCGAACUGCUAAAUUACGAGGACGUGAACACACCAGCAUCGGUUGUCAAGUGAUGUUGAGGGGACAAACACAGAGAAGAAUACGAACAUACAUAUGACUUCUUCCAGUUUCCAUCUACCAAGUCUACUCACAAGGCUUUGGUCGGCCCGAGGCUAUAGUAGAAGACAUUUGCCCAAGGUGCCAUGCAUCAGGACUGAACCCGGGACCAUGUGGUUGGUAAGCAAGCUACUUACCACACAGCCACUCCUACGCCUAUAUAUAUCCAUGAUGUCAAUAUGUUUUUUCUUUCGUUUUUACACACUUGAAAGAUCAGUCUGUAGUGAGAAACUGAACAUCAACAUCAGAAAUAAUUAACUUCAGGUGAACAAAUAAACUCUAUUACAUGUACUGCAUGUAUUGAGCACUUCUUUUGUUUGCACAUUCAAGCAUGUGUGGAGGCACAUGGCCUAGUGGUUAGAGCAGCGGACUCGUGGUCGAGGGAUCACGGGUUCAAAUCUCAGACCAGGUGAUGUGUGUGUUUAUUAGUGAAAACACCUAAGCUCCACGCGGCUCCGGCAGAAGGUAAUGGUGAACUUCUGCUGACUCUUUCGCCACAACUUUCUCUCACUCUUUCCUUCCUGCAUCUUGCAGCUCACCUUCUCCUUACAGUAUUUCUCUGCUGCUGGGAUAAAAUUAUUGAAGAACCAAUCUUCAAAAGCAACAAUAGUAACCCAUGCUUUUGAAUCAGCCAUCCAUAUAACAGGGAGAGAUGCCUUGGGUAUUUUCUUCAGGGCACGGGGUUUGUGUGCAUCAUACACAAGCAAUGACUUUAAUUUAAAAUCUCUUGCAUAGUCACCUCCUAACAUAAUGGUCACACGUUCUUUUGAGACCUUGUAGCCUGGAAUAGUUUUCUCCUCCUUGGAAAUGAAUGAACGGUCUGGCAAUUUUUUCCAAUACAAUCUAGUUUUGUCUAUGUUAAAAAUAUGUUCGGGAAGAAACCUGUUUUCUUUGAUGAUUUUCUUUAUUGCAUUAGGAAAUUCUGAUGCACUUUCACCUUGCUUCUUAAUGGAGUGAUAGCUUCUUCACUCCUUAAAUCUUAUGAACCAUCCUUGACUUGCCUUGAACUCUACAUCUUUCUCAUCUGGAUAUUUUUCUUCAAGUCUUCAAACAAAGGCAAUGCUUUCUCUUGAAUGAUUUCUUGACUAAUAGUUAGCACACUAACAAUUCAAAGAGAAAGAAGACUUUCCAUUUCUUCAAAGAUUUUGCCUCUUAUUGAUGAUAGUGUUCUUCAUCCCUGGGGCUUCAGAUUUGAUAUGUGCUAAAAUCUUGUCCAUAUUACGUACAAUUGUUGAUAAAGUUGUCCGACUCCUCCCAAAAGAUAAUGCAAUUGCUACCACUUUUUCACCUUUUUCAUGGUGGUUUAUCAUGGCCAGUUUAUCUUCCAGCAUUAUAGCAUGAUGCUUAGCACUUUCACUAUGAAUUUUCUUAGGAGCCAUGGGGGCAAAAAUUAAAGUCACAAAUGAAUGAGAAAGUAGCUGACAAACAGACAUAAACAAAUCUGAAUUCAAAACAAACCUGGGAAUCACGAGUGACAAUGACCCCUAAUAGUAGAUAUUGGAACUAUCCUGCAAUAUGAGCUCCAAAACACCGAUAAGUAAGACAACACAGCUGAUUUCAUGAUUUCGUUCACUAAGCUACACUAUGGUGUGUAAUUUAACAUUUACUGUACAUAUUUUAAUUUUUAUAUGCUUUUAUUCUUAUUUAUUGUACAGUUACAGGAUUUUAUGUGCUUUUAACGGUUUUCUAGUGAUUUUACAAUUCCAGUAUUUGUGGCAGACAGAUGCAAAGUCAAGUAAAAUGACUUGACUUGAUUUUUAUUUUUCCAUAUAUUAAUCAUGAAAACUGACAUAUAAUGGAAAACGACUUAUGCCAAAGUAUGCUUGUAUGUAUGUAUGUAUGUGUAUAUAUAUGUAUAUACAUAUAUAUAUAUAUAUAUGUACAUACUUACAUCUAUAUGUAUAUAUACAUGCAUAUGUGGGCACAGGAUGUCACGAAACGUGUACAACAAAAAAUACAAAGUGCGAGUAAAUGGAAUAUGAACUAUUUUUUGAACAAUGAAAGGCACAAAUGGAAAACAUUACAAACAACACAAAGAAUGACCCUUCAUCAGUUGUUAGCUGUGUCUCUACUCUCAUGUUUUGAGCAUUUAGCAAGAUAUGCUUUCAAUAAAACAGUUGCUCCUCCAGCAAAGCAAAUUAAAUAAACUUUGAGAUUUUGCGGAGGGUCAAAAUAGGUAACACAAACAAGACAGUGAAAACAAACAUGAAGAGCUGCUAUGCCUAAACGAGGUUGUGGUGGCGAAUGCGUAAAUCAAGCUUGGACAGGAGACAGACAAGAACACAUCUUCCUUGAUCCAGCUACAACAAAGUAUAUAGACACAUUCACACACACACACACACGAGUAUUUAAUAGAGUUAUUUUCUUUAGACAAGUUGUAUUCUCAUCAAUCAGAGUUUGUUUGUUUAUGAUGGAGAAGGUGAAGAUCAUUAGAAAAUAUUUUUGUUUUAAAACUUGACCUGUGUUGAGGUGAGUUUCCAGCAGAUUUUUGUAAUUAAACUUGGUUAUUGUUUAACUUAGGUUGGCUUUCGCUCAGCAAAGGCAUCAUCUAUAUAUGGUUUCGGUCGUGGCCAUUCUGUUUUGCUUCUUUUUAUCAAACAUAUUGUAUCCAGAAUGUUUACUCAUCAUGUCUUUUUUGUUUUUUUAAGAUGCUAUUGUGUGGUUUCAGGAAAAUUUGUCUGUUAAUCCUGCUAAGUGAUGUGUUUAUAUAGACGUUUCAACAUUUAUGUAACACAUUUUUAUAUGCACACACAUACACACACACACACACACACAUACACUAGGGGAUUUCCAGAAGUUUUGAGACUUUUCUUGGAGACACUGUUAUAACUGUCCUAGAUUUAUACAUUUUUAUACCUAAUAAGCUGACCUGCCAACUUUGUAUCCCAGAUUGAAAAAGAGAGCUGUAACAGAACUUUGAAGACACCCUGCUGCUUGUUACAGUUCCAUCCAGGAACAGUUUUAAUACUUGAUGGGCAAUAAAACUGUCCCUCACCUUCCCUACAUCAAUCUGAACUGAUAUUUACUUUAUUGACCUUAAAUGGAGGAAAGGUAAAGUCAAUCUUGGUGGAACUCAGUACAUAAAAAUAGAAGAAAUACUCUGAAACAUUUUCUCUAAUGAUUCUGCUAGCUUGCCACCUUAUGUAAUAAUAAUUAUGAUGAUGAUGAUGAUGAUGAUGAUGAUGAUGCUUUCUAGUAAUAGUAAUAAUAAUAAUGAUGAUGAGAAUAAUUAUUUCUAAUAAUUAUAAAAAUUGUUCUUGACGUUGGCAUGAGGCAGCUUUAUUCAAGGAGAGGGUAUUGUUAAUUAAAUUAACUCUAGUAUUUAAUGAAUGCUAUUUUAUUUCUUCUUGAAAAUCAAAAUCGUUCAACAUCAAUGGAAAUUGUAGCUGUAAUACCAGUGCCGGUGGCACGUAAGAGAACCAUCCGAACGUGGCCAUUGCCAGCGCCGCCCCGACUGGCCUCUGUGCCAAUGGCAUGUAAAAAGCACCAUCCGAUUGUGGCCGUUGCCAGCCUCAUCUGGCCCCCGUGCCGGUGGCAUGUAAGAAGCACCAUCCUAUCGUGGCCAUUUGCCAGUUCAGUUGGUCUCAGUUAUGGUUCCAACUGGUUUUUAUGGCUGGAAAAAAAUCAGACAUAGGGCUUGUUUCUGCCAAUUAGCAAACUGUAAACACAGAACCAUAUGGCCACCUUCUCUAGCAUCUUACAAGGAUGUUGUCAAAUGAAAUCACUCUUGCUAAGGCAUACUCACUGGUUCAAAGAUUUAAAAACAUGUAGAAAAAGAAAAAAUUAUAACCAUGCACUUGCAGCUGAUCCUUUAAGAUCUGGCCUUGGUCUUUCUGGGACUGGCUUCAAGUAGUUACAAACAUAACAUGUUGUUUUUUUUUGUUUAUUUUUUUUCACAGUUUAUUCUCUGAUAGUGUCACCAUUUUGUCCUUGUUGACUGUCCUUAUGUCAAUGGUCAAAGUUGCUAUAAAAUUAGGCUCUAUUACUGUGAAUUUAAGUGAAGAGAAUACUACUAUUUUGAGGUGUGUGUGUUGGUGGGGUGGGGGAGAAAAUGCAAUUAGAAUAAUUUAUUCAUUGCUUGUUUUUAUAUUUUUUAAUGAUUGUUAUUUUUAGUUAGUCAUGCUUCUCUUGCGGUUUUUAAGCUGUUGUUUCUUGUACAUUUACCACCAGACUCCACUUCAUCUUUAGUACAACAGUCCAGUGUGAGUGUGUUUGUAUGUAUGUGAGUGUGUGUGUAUGUGAGUGCUUGUGUGUUUGUAUGCAUGUAUGUAUAUAUAUAUAUAUGUAUGUGUGUGUGUAUGUAUGAAGGUGAGAGCUAUUAGAGAUGAAGUGUACUGUUUGUCAUAGACACAUAUGUGUAAUAAAAAAAUUAAUUAAGUGAGCAAAUCAAAUUAAUUACUCUUAACUUAGUACUUUGUUCUUCUUGCUUAUGUCAACUGAUGCUUGUUGUCCUCACUUUAGCCCCAAGUCAGGUCUGAGAGAACACUGACAAAUACACUUAUUAUCAAUAGGCGCAGGAGUGGCUGUGUGGUAAGUAGCUUGCUUACCAACCACAUGGUUCCGGGUUCAGUCUCACUGCGUGGCACCUUGGGCAAGUGUCUUCUACUAUUGCCUCGGGCCGACCAAAGCCUUGUGAGUGGAUUUGGUAGACGGAAACUGAAAGAAGCCCGUCGUAUAUAUGUAUAUAUAUGAGUGUGUGUCUGUGCUUGACAACCGAUGCUGGUGUGUUUACGUUGCCGCAACUUAGCGGUUCAGCAAAAGAGACCGAUACAAUAAGUACUAGGCUUACAAAGAAUAAGUCCUGGGGGCCGAUUUCCUCGACUAAAGGCGGUGCUCCAGCAUGGCCGCAGUCAAAUGACUGAAACAAGUAAAAGAGUAAAAGAGCCACACCAUCUUCUUUCCCUGGAAUAAAUUUCCCUGGACAGCAUUAUCUAAUAUGAUCGAUCUUUUAUAGGAAUUGUUGUUUUUGAGUGUUUUUUUUUAGCCCAAAGUCAGCUUUGAUCAGGCUUACCUGUGAUAAACUGUGUUCCACUCACUUUCUUUGUAAGCCUAGUACUUAUUCUAUCGGUCUCUCUUGCUGAACCGCUAAGUGACGGGGAUGUAAACGCACCAGCAUCGGUUGUCAAGCGAUGUCGAGGAAUUCUGUUAAGGUCAACUUUGCUUUUCCUCCUUUUAGGGUCACUGAAAUAAGUACCACUCAAAGUACUGAGGUUGAUGAAAUUAACAACCCCCCCCUCUUACAAAAUUCAGGCUUUAUGCUUAUAGUCGGAAGAAAUGUUGCUAUUGAUACACCUGUGAAAAUUAAAAGGAAAUAUAAAAGGAGAAAGGGGCUCUCUACCCCCUUUAUGACCAGGCUCCCGUGGCUUUUAUGGCUUUUUCCAUGAGUAACCUUUUGAAGCGCCUCCCCCUAUUGGGAGUUUUAAUUAUUACUUACAUUUCGUUGUUAUCCUGCUUUUGUACACGGACUUUUUCAAACGGACAAAACCCUUUGUAACUAUUGUCUUGUGUUUUGUCCCUUUAUGUUUUAAUUGAUUUUUGUUAGCACUUGUGGCCAAUAAACGAACAAAUUAUUAUUAUUAUUUAGGUGAUGGUGGUGAGCUGGUAGAAUCGUUAGCACGUUAGGCAAAAUGUUUCGUGACAUUUCAUCCAUCUGUACAUUCUGGUUGGGUGGGUAGGUAGGUAGGUAGGUCAGUUACAUUGACCUCCAGUUUCAACUGGUUCUUAUUUUAUUGACCUUGAAAGUGUGUAAAGCAAAGUGGACCAUGGUGGAAUUUGAACUCAGAAUGUACAGAUGGAUGAAAUGUCACGAAACAUUUUGCCUAACGUGCUACUUAGUAAUAAAUAGAUGCCCAUAGAGAAAUGCAAUUCAAAACGUAUUACUCCAAAAUUUAUGAUUACUAGUGUAUGACUUUUACUCCAAAACUUAUGAUUACUAGUGUAUGACUUGUUUUACGCCUGGGAUAAGUAAUACUUAGUAUCAUUGAAAUAUAGAUAUGUAUAAGUGGUGUGGAGGCUCAAUGGCCCAGUGGUUAGGGCAGCGGACUUGCGGUCAGAUGAUCACGGUUUUGAUUCUCAGACCGGGUGUUGUGUGUGUUUAUUGAGCGAAAACACCUAAAAGCUUCACAAGGCUCCGGCAGGGGUAGGUGGCGACCCCUGUUGUACUCUUUCGCCACAACUUUCUCUCACUCUCUCUUCCUGUUUCUUGAGUAACGCUGUGAUGGACUGACGUCCCGUCCAGCUGGGGGUAACACAUACGCCACGGAAACCGGGCCCAUGAGCCUGGCUAGGCUUGAAAAGGGUGAAAAAAAAAUAUACAAGUGAUACAAGUGAACUUAAUGUGUUUAAAGAUUGAUUUGAGAAAUGUGUGUAUGUGUACAUACAUUCAUUCAUAUAUACAAACAUACAUACAUAUAGAAUGAGUGAGUGAGAGAGAUAGAGAGUGGGGAAUUGCAAAUUGAACCAGAAGUUGUGUAUGUUACAGAUGGACAGAUUUGACAAAAAUUAUUGCAAUUUCCAAAAUUUAUAUAAAUCUUGGGCUUCUAUAAUAUGAAUUACUUAUUUAAUGAAAUUUUUUUUGUUUUGUUUGUUUUUGAGUUGUGAUUAAUAUUCUAACAAAACUAAAUUAAAAGCAUGUAUUGAAUAUGUUUUGUUUUACAUUGACUUGCAGUUUUCAUAGCAUUAAGUGGAAGAGAUAUUUCAUACCUCUGAGACUUUAGUAGAUUCUGUCAUUAAAGGGAUUGUAGGUCAGAAUUGUUAAAUCAAUAAAACAACUGUCAUGUAUGCUGUCUGUUAGUGAAAUUUUAGUUUUGAAUUGCAUUUCUCUAUGGGCAUCUAUUUAUUACUAAGUAGAUUUGAAUAAUUGGAUUUUAAUUAAAGCAUUUAAUUCAGUUCUCGACCAUUGUUUUUAUUUAUUUAUUUAUUUUUUUUGUAUGAGAAAGGCAGACACAGGGUCAACUUUAUAAAUAAAUUCUUUAUAAAAAUAAAGAGUUGUAAUGUUUUUUUUUUUGCUGAACCGCUAAGUUACAGGGACGUAAACACACCAGCACCAGUUGUCAAGCGAUGUUGGGCGGGGGAACAAACACAGACACACAAACAUACACACACACACACACUCACAUAUAUACAUAUAUAUAUAUACAAUGAGCUUCUUUCAGUUUCUGUCAACCAAAUCCACUCACAAGGCUUUGGUCAGCCUGAGGGUAUAGUAGAAGCCCGAGGUGCCACGCAGUGGGACGGAACCUGGAACCAUGAGGCUGGUAAGCAAGCUACUUACCACACAGCCACUCCUACUUGUAAAUUUAAAAUAGAUCAUUAGUUUUAUAGUGUUCUGUAAUUCACAUUAAUAACCUAAAACCUACCACAUAUCCCUGAGAGAAUUAGCAGUUCAAAUGAAGGGAAACAAAUGGUUUCAGCUAGACUGCAGAAUGGAACUCAGUUUUCUUUAAGGUAAAAAAUAAUGCAAGUAAUGUUCAAGGGAAAGGACAAGAUUGGUAUGGAAAAUGUAGUUUGUAGGAGAAAGAUAGUUUGGUGUACUAAGUGAUUCUGAUGAAAGGAGUAUGUGGAAGAAGACUGGAAAGAAGUGGCCAAGGUCGAAUGGAUGGUGGUGGUUGAGUCUCAUGAAGGAAACCACAUAAAAUGGUAAUACACGGUGCUGGAGAAGACCCAUCCUCUCUGUGCAAGCAUGGUAGAAAAAUGAAUGUAAAAUGAUACUGGUAAGGAUGAUAAAAAAAAAUAAAGAAUUGUUUCAGAUGUUUGGCACAAGGCCAGCAAUUUUAGACUGAGUGACAUCGUUGAUUUCAUUGCCACCUAUACUUGACUGGUACUCUAUUUUAUCGACUCCAUAAUGGAUUAACCCUUUCGUUACCAACCUGGCUAAAACCGGCUCUGGCUCUAAGUACAAAUGUCUAAUUUUCAUAAGUUUUGAAUUAAAAUCUUCCACCAAACCUUAGACACAAUUUAUGUUCCUAACACUAGCUGAAUGAUCACUAAGUUAUUUUACUAAAUUCUUUGUUAUAUUUAAGAUUAAUUGAAAGAAAAAUAGAGUAUCUCAAAAUAAAUACAGUAAUGAAAGGGUUAAAGGUAAAGUUGAUCUCAGUGGUAUUUGAACUUUAGAACAACAUAAAGAGCUAUAAGAAAUGCCUCAAUGCAUUUUGUCUGACAUGUUAAUAAUUCUGUCAGGUCAACUCUAUGGAGAAUUAUGUAAGGAUUUUCGAAUAUCAUCAAGCAAGCUGUUCCUUCAGUCUAAUGAAAAUGUUCUUUCUUGCUAAAGAAAGAUAUUGUCUUGGCUAUUGACUCUCUACUUCUAGUAGAGUUUUAUUGGCUGUCUUCUUAUUUGAUUUUCUUCAAAACUUCAUUUCAUUAGGUGGAUAUUGUCUUCAUUUGACUUGUUCGUUUCUUAUUCUCCUUUUCUGUCUCAACACUUUCUAAAUGAUGUGAUUUAAAACAUUUACACACGAUACUUUGUUUUUGCUUUCUCUUUCACCUUCAAGUUUUCUUUUAAUAUUUGGUUUUAACUACAGCUUAUUUUCUUCUCCGUGUUUUCUUUUUUUUUUUCUUUUAUCUUAGCUAACUUCUAUAUUUUGAGGUUUGUUAAAUGACCAUUUCACAAUUUGUGCUAGUGUUGUCAGAGGAGUUAAGUGGUAGCUUUAAAUGCUUUGUGUUUAUUUGUUUUUACUUGCUUUUCUUUUUUGGCUGUUUUUGCUCUUUAUAUGUUCUUUUUUUUUUCUUCUUACUAAGUGUAUUCCACAUUCUCUCUCCUCCUAUUCCUCUCCUCAGAGGUGGCCGUGGCAGUGUUGUUUGUGUAGUAGGUGUUAGCAGUAAAAGAAGACGUACUGCUGAUUAGUAGUUAGUUAGUUAGUCAAUAUCAGAAAAUAGCUGUUAUUACAAAGAAUCAGCAUUAAUUGGCUUCUUGCAGGCACUAGACAAUUGUGACUCAGACUUGCAUACACACAUAAACUUUGAUGGCCGUGUGCACACACACACACACAAUGGCCAGCACUUGUAAAUUUUGGGUGUAACAAGGGAGUGAGAGAGAGAGAGAGAGAGAGAGCUUAUUAUGGGCAGUUUGUAAAUUGUUGUAUAACAUGGCUGUCUGAAUAAAAAUUUGCAAAAGAAGAAAAACAAACCAGAAACAGAUAUUUUAGUGAGAAUUUUUAAAUUUCUAAUGUAUUUGAAAUAUAUAUAAAAAAAAAAAUGGAAAAUCUUUGAAAGGCAAUAUAUUUUUGCUAUUUUUUGCUAUUUUUAAAAACAAAUUGUUUUUCGUAACUAAAAAAUUUAUUUUCUUUUUGUUGUUUUUUUUCUCACUAUUCUUAAUUAAAUGUAAUAUUGUCUUGUGGUCUUCAUUGAUGGUUUUUUCAAGAUGAACUUAUAACUUGGGAUUAAAGAACCUAACACAAACAUGAAAACGAACUGAAUCAUUUCUCUUCAGAAUAAAAUAAUAUUCUGUAAUACAGUAAACGAAUCUCUUUGGUUUGAACGGCAGUUUUUAACAUAAUUUCUAGGUAACUAAAAAAUUUUAAACUUCGUAUACUGGUAGAAUGUGUUUAUAAAACAUCUUUUUCUCUUGGCUUUAUUGAGAAAAUUCUAUAGUUUGUAAGAUAGUUUUUGUUUUUUUUCUUCAAUUUCUGCAAUUUCAACCAAUCACUGACAUCCAUUGAGGUAAAAAAACAUUUUGUGCCAUAUGAAUAUGUCCCUCGUUUAAGAAACAGAUUGGGUUUAUUUACAUUUGUGAAGAAAAAAAGAUACCCUUCCCCCACCCCUAGCCCUAACCAUAACCAACCCUAACCCUAAAAUAGAUUGAAAUGUAAUAGAUCGAUUCUAGGGUCAUAAUUAUGGGUGACAAUUUCAUAUGACACCGCUAGAAAAAACUGCCGUUCAAACCAAAAAGAUCCCAGUAAACUGUUACUGCAUAUUGAAAUGAUUCAAAAGAGACACUGAUUGUUGUUUUGAGGGUCCAAGGGAAAAUUUGAACUUACAGAUGUCUUGUUAGUCAUACAGUAUUCUUGCUGCUUACAAAGUGUUGGAGAAAACUACUUUGCAGUAUUUGCUUUGGCUCUUUUCAUUCCAAGUUCAAAUCCCGCUGAGGUUAACUUUGUCUUUUGUUCUUUGGUGAGGUUGAUAAAAUAAAGUGCCAGUCAAGUGCAAGGAGUCAAUGUAAUUGAAUAACUUCUGCAUAAUUGCUGGUUAUUGUGCCAAUAUUAGAAAGGUGGCGAGCUGGCAGAAUCAUUAGCACGCCAGGCGAAAUGCUUAGCGGUAUUUCGUCUGCCGCUACGUUCUGAGUUCAAAUUCCGCCGAGGUCUACUUUGCCUUUCAUCCUUUCGGGGUCGAUUAAAUAAGUACCAGUUACACACUGGGGUCGAUGCAAUCACCUUAAUCCCUUUGUCUGUCCUUGUUUGUUGUCCCAACUAUAUUUAGCCCCCUGCAGGCAAUAAAGAAAUGAAUAUUAGAAAGUUGUUACUAAGAAGGUGAACUGGCAAAAUCAUUGGAAUGUCGAAAGAAAUGCUUAUAGUAUUUCUUCCAGUCCUUUACGUUUUGUGAUAUGUGGAAGACUGGCAUGUCAAAGAAUAGACCCAGUGUUUCCUCUGCAUGUCAUAAAACAGUGACUAAAAGAGGUUGAAGUAGGAUUUGCACUCUGACUGUGAAACCCACACCAGCAGUGGCUACCCAAACAGACCCAUGGGUUAGAGGGUUGUCGCCUGAGUGGUGCAAAGGUGUUAUCUGUCAGGAUUAGGGAAUCACCUACAAAUGGUAGAUGCAGUGGUGGGCUGUUAUAGUUCUUGCUUACAUACUACUACAACUUUGUUUUGAGUUCAAAUCUUGCCAAGCUCAGUUUGCCUUUUCAUCCUUUCUGGGUCAGUAAAAUAAAGUAUCAGUUAAGUACUGAUAUUGACUAAUCUCACUUCAAAAUUGCUGGCAUUGUGCCAAAAUUUGAAACCAUUAUUAGUAUGGCAGCAGUUUAGUAGAGAUCAAUUUGAGAAAUAUAUAUGUGUGUGUCUUUGUACAUAUAGUUGUACAUACAUAUGAAUGUAUAUACAGAAGGAGUGAGUGAGAGAGUGUGGGGAGUUGUAAACCAAACCCAAAGUGAUACUACAGAUGGACAGAUUUGACAAAAAUUAUCAUAAUUUCCAAAAUUUAUAUCAACUUUGGGCUUCUGUAAUAUGAAUCACUUAUAAUCAUUAGAGCAUAGAUUCUCAGCAUGGUUGGUACUGCCCCCAAAGGGGCACUGGGUAGAUUGAAGAGGAAUGUUUGGCUUUAGCGGGUAAUCAUCAUCAUCGUUUAACGUCCGCUUUCCAUGCUAGCAUGGGUUGGACGAUUUUGACUGAGGGCUGGCAAACCAGAUGGCUGCACCAGGCUCCAAUCUGAUCUGGAAGAGUUUCUACAGCUGGAUACCCUUCCUAACGCCAACCACUCCGAGAGUGUAGUGGGUACUUUUUACGUGCCACCGGCACGGGAGUCAGUCAGGCGGUAUUAGCAAUGACCUUGCUCGAAUCUUUUUACACGUGCCACCAGCACAGGUGCCAGUGGAGUGAUGUUGGUAACGAUCACAACAUACUAAAUGUUACCAAUAGAAGUAAAUAUAUAAUACAUGAUAAUGGUUAUUAAAAUAAAAUGAGAUCUCAUUAGGUACAGAGAAGUCAUUAACUUGCAAUGUGUAAAGUAAAUUUACAGCUUCUGUCUUCAUUUAUUUUUCAUCAUUUCACUGUUAAUAGCUUAUACAAUCCAUUUUUAGAGUAAAAUUCAUGAAUUAUGUUCCGUUCUUUUACUCUUUUAUUCAUUCCUUUAUUUGUUUCAGUCAUUUGGCUGUGGCCAUGCUGGAGCAUUUGACUGUGGCUAUGCCUUUAGUCAAACAAAUUGACCCCCCAGGACUUAUCCUUUGUAAGCCUAGUACUUAUUCUAUUGGUCUCUUUUGCCAAACUGCUAAGUUACGAGAACAUAAACAGACCACCGCGUGGCACCUUGGGCAAGUGUCUUCUACUAUAGCCUCGGGCCGACCAAAGCCUUGUGAGUGGAUUUUGUAGAUGGAAACUGAAAGAAGCCCGUCUUAUAUAUGUAUAUAUAUAUAUAUAUGUGUGUGUGUGUGUUUGUGUGUCUGUGUUUGUCCCCCUAGCAUUGCUUGACAACCGAUGCUGGUGUGUUUAUGUCCCCGUUACUUAGCGGUUCGGCAAAAGAGACCGAUAGAAUAAGUACUGGGCUUACAAAAGAAUAAGUCCCGGGGUCGAGUUGCUUGAUUAAAGGCGGUGCUCCAGCAUGGCCACAAUGACUGAAACAAGUAAAAGAGUAAAAAGAGUACACCAACAUCAGUGUCAAGUGGGGGAUGGGAGACAAACACAGACACACAAAUACAUACAUAAAUAAAUAUCAAUAUAAUAAAUAACAAAGAAAAAAAACUCAAGGUAAUAAAUUUAAAAUGUCUUAUUCUUAUAUUUUAAUUAUAAUCCACAUGAUGAGUACAAAAAGAUAUUAUAUGAUGAUGAUAAUAGGCAUUAUUUCUUUGAUGGUUGUCUGAGAUAAUUGAAUAAAUGAAUAACCCAUCAUUAAGAACAAAGUCUGCUUCAUUUCUUUUUAUUUAAUGACAUUUAUUGAACUCUGGCUCGUGCAAGCAUGGAAAUGAGGGUUAGCAACAGGAACAGCAUCUGACCCGUGCAAGCAUGGAAAUGAGGGUUAGUAACAGGAACAGCAUCUGACCCGUGCAAGCAUGGAAAUGAGGGUUAGCAACAGGAACAGUAUCUGACCCGUGCAAGCAUGGAAAUGAGGGUUAGCAACAGGAACAGCAUCUGACCCGUGCAAGCAUGGAAAUGAGGGUUAGCAACAGGAAUAGCAUCUGACCCGUGCAAGCAUGGAAAUGAAGGUUAGCAACAGGAACAGCAUCUGACCCGUGUAAGCAUGAAAAUGAGAGUUAGCAACAGGAACAGCAUCUGACCCUUGCAAGCAUUGAGAUGAGAGUUAGCAACAGGAACAGCAUCUGACCCGUGUAAGCAUGGAAAUGAGGGUUAGCAACAGGAACAGCAUCUGGCUCGUGCAAGCAAGGAAAUGAGGGUUAGCAACAGGAACAGCAUCUGACCCAUGCAAGCAUGGAGAAGAAGUGGACAUGAAACCACUGAAGAUGAUGACAAUUAAUGAAUUCUCAUAUUGAAUAUAUUCAUAAGGGUUGGGAGAAAAUGAGUUUGUAUGGUCUUCUUGUCUUUUUUUUGAAGACUAAUUGGAAUAUGAAGUAGAGUAACUUUAAUUGUAAAUCAAAGUUGAAUUAUGGACUUGGUUUACUGGGAAUUUAAUCAUUUUAUGUACUAUUACUUAGAUGUGCAACAAUCAAAGGAAUAGAGUAUGUGGUUUGUUGCUUCAAAUUCCAAUGAUAAAUGAUAAUUGUGUUGUCCCCAGUAAAUAAUAAAUAUAAUAAUAAUAAUAAUAAUAAUAAUGAUAAUAAAUCAAGACAAAGAACUCCCCUCCCCCAUAAACCAACCCUCACUACUAAAAUGUUGAUGUCUAAUUAAGUGAUAAUUAUUUAUUUAUUUAAUUAUUCAGAUUAAAAGAAAAGAAAAAGCAGACAGAAAACGAAGGGAAAUUUAUUACUCUUUGGUGUAAUUAGGUUAAAAAUAACAAUAUAAUUGUAUUUUUGUGAAAAGAAAUUUAAUUAAAAGAUCAAUUAGUAAACAACUGAUAUUUUUUUUUAUUCAUUUCUGUUUCUUGACUGCCCUCCCCUCCCACACACACAGUAUUUGAUUGUGUUUAAUGUGAUUUUAUUUUCCAUCAAUCUUGUUUAUGAACUGAUAUUUUAUGAAGUUUUGAUCAAUUUCAAAAGGGAAGUUGAGUUACUAAUUUUUUUUUUUUUGUUUUGCCAGUUAUUUGUGUUGUUGUUUAAACUCUAGGUCAGAUCUGAUUGAUAUAAGACUAGUGGUUCCCAAAGUAGGUGGUAUUGCUCCCUGGUGGGUGGGGUGGUGGAAAGUUCCAAGGGGUUGUUGAAGAAAAGUGGGGUGAUAAUGGUGUAGCGAUUCAUGUAAAAAGUAGGACAAUAAUUGGGUUGCGAUUCAUGUCAUCAUCAUCGUCAUCAUCGUUUCACGUCCGCUUUCCAUGCUAGCAUGGGUUGGACGAUUUUGACUGAGGGCUGGCAAACCAGAUGGCUGCACCAGUCUUCAAUCUUGAUCUAGCAGUUUCUACAGCUGGAUGCCCUUCCUAACGCCAUGUAAAAACAACAAAAUAAUGGGUUCAUUAGGUUAAGUUUUAUUUAUGAAAUACAGUUGCUUUGAAUUUGUCUCAGAAAGAAGUCUAUGUUUAUGAUGGCUAGUUGGGGUGGAGGUGCUAGGAAUGUGGCCUGGGUGUCAAGGGGGCGGCAUCCCCAAAAUGUUUGGAACCACUGAUAUAGACCUAUGGUCAAAGGUGACCCUGUCACAAAGGUUGGUCUUUAGUGUAUGUGUGUAUAAUAAUGGUAUGAAACUCAAAUCAGUCUCAGUAAACCAUGUGUGCAACAUAUAUUGAGUACUUCCCUCACAUUUGUUUGAUACAAAUCAAUGUUUGUUUAUAUACGUGUUGUUCUUAUCACUGUGCAUCCCUCACCUUUCACUAGGCUUAUAUUCUUUUUAUUCUUUUACUUGUUUCAGUCAUUUGACUGUGGCCAUGCUGGACCACCACCUUUAGUCGAAUCAAAUCGACCCCAGGACUUAUUCUUUGUAAGCCUAGUACUUAUUCUAUUGGUCUCUUUUGCCGAACUGCUAAGUUACGGGGGACCUAAACACACCAGCAUCUAUUGUCAAGCGAUGUUGGAGGGACAAACAGAUUCACAAACAUAUACACACACAUACGUAUAUACGACGGACUUCUUUCAGUUUCCAUCCACCAAAUCCACUCACAAGGCUUUGGUCGGCCCGAGGCUAUAGUAGAAGACACUUGCCCAAGGUGCAACACAGUGGGACUGAACCUGGAACCAUGUGGUUGGUAAGCUUCGAGCUCAGAAGAUGACAAUGAGUAUGAACCUUCUAUUAGAAGCUGGAUACAACAGAUGAGUGUGUAAGCCUGUCUGAUAAAAAAAUUCAUCUGAAAAUGAAUUGUUUUCUCCAAAAAAAAGUCGCCAGAGAAGGGGUUAAGAAGAUGAGUCAAGAUUUCUCCAAAACUGACAUGUUACCAAGGAAAAGCUUUUUGUCUAGAGCAGCGGUUCUCAACCAUUUUUCGCCUAUGGACACCUUUGAUUCCCAUUUUACUCUACUGAACCCCUAUAGCCACUCAGUGUUCAAAUAAUCUCAUCUCUCUCAUCUAGGUCAUCCCAUCCCAUAGGAUGUCUUCUGUUCAAAUAAAACCCUAUAAUAUUUUUAUAAUUGAUUGUUGUUAGGAAUUGUAUAAAAAACAUCCUAGAAAAAUUAUGUGUUUUGUACAAGUAUAUAAAUAUGUCAUUCUCUAAUUAAGAUGGCAGUAUGCGUUUUGAUAUUUGGCUACUAUUUCUAGCAGGGCAAGUGGCCUUUUUCUCUGGCUUACAAGGAGGGUUCAUUGUAAAAUAUGGAGUUUCAGUUUCUCUUUGCAGUAGUUUAAAGAAUUAUUUGUCAGAAGCUGUCAUAUCCAGAAGGCUAAAGAUAAUUUAAUUUUCUUUUGUUAUCUUACAUACAUUUUUGACCUCUUACUUUUUAACAUCCCCUCCUUCUCCCCUCCUUCUCCCCUCCUUCUCCCCUCCUUCUCCCCUUCUUCCUUUCUCCAACCCCCUCUCUCUUGCACCUCAUCUUUCUCCCCCUCGUUCCCCUCUCUCUCCCCACCUCGUUCCCUUCUCCUCUCCCCCACCUUGCCCUCUCUUACCAUUUUCUCCCUCUCCCAUCUUCUCUCUCCCUCUCUUUCUACUGCCUCUAACCUCUUCUCUCCACCACUUCUCUCCUUUCUCCUCUUCUUCUGACAUAUGAGUAUGAAGUAUUGCAAACUAUAGUUUUCAAAUAACUGUUCCCAUGCUUGUGCACACACACACACACACUAAUGCACAUACACACAUACUAUUUUAAUUUGUGCAGAUACACAGGCAUACACACACACAUUGAUGCGUGUUGACACAAAUUACGUAGGUACACAUACAUUGCUAUGUACAGUUGACAACACAGACACAUACAUAAACACACACACACACAUACAUAAACACACACACACAUACAUAAACACACACACACAUACAUAAACACACACACAUACAUAAACACACACACAUACAUAAACACACACACACUCACGCCACCACAACCAUCAUCAACAACAAUACCAUCACCACCACCAUCAAAGUUCUCAAUAUACUGCAUUGUAAAUUACUAUUUUUAAAUCUCACAACGUGAGAUAUUCAGCAACAGUACUUUGUAGUAAAGAUUGUUUGCCAACAUAACAUGGCAGUCCUGGUUUAGGACUCAUGUUACUGUAAUUUAGCCCCAAGAGACAUCAUCUCCGCCUGGUUAUAUGACACAAUCUGUGUCCUUAUAUGAAGGGAAAUAACCCAGAAAUCGCAAUAUACAGAUGUUGCUUUGAGCUGAGUGGGGUGCUAGAUUCCCUUGUUCAAAAAUAUAAGGACACAGAUCGUGUUGUAUAGCCAGCUGGAGAUGAUGUCUCCUGGGGCUAAAUUACAGUAACAUUAGUCCUAAACCAGGACUGCCAAACUGCUAAGUUACAGAAACGUAAACAAACCAACAUCAGUUCUCAAGUGGUGGCCAGACACACACAUACACAGUUUCCAUCUACCAAAUCCACUUACAAGGCUUUGGUCAGCUUGAGGCCAUAGUAGAUAACACUUGCUCAAGGUGCCAUGCAAUGGGCCUGAACCUGAAACCAUGUGGUUGGGAAGCAAAGUUCUUACCACAUAGCCACAAUGUUAUGUAUAUGUGUGUGAGUGUGUAUAUACAUUUAUAUAUAUAUAUGUUUACACACUCAUACAGCCACAAUGUGUGUGUGUGUAUGUGUAUAUAUAUGUAUGUAUGUAUAUGUAUGUAUAUAUAUGUAUGUAUAUGUAUGUAUGUAUGUAUGUAUGUAUGUAUAUGUAUGUAUAUGUAUGUAUGUAUAUGUAUGUAUGUAUGUAUAUGUAUGUAUGUAUAUGUAUGUAUGUAUAUGUAUGUAUGUAUGUAUGUAUGUAUAUAUAUAUAUGUAUGUAUAUAUAUGUAUGUAUAUAUAUGUAUGUGUGUAUAUAUAUAUGUAUGUAUGUAUAUGUAUGUGUGUAUAUAUAUAUGUAUGUAUGUAUAUGUAUGUAUGUAUAUGUAUGUGUGUAUAUAUAUAUGUAUGUAUGUGUAUAUAUAUAUAUAUAUAUGUAUAUAAAUGUAUGUAUAUAUAUGUAUGUGUAUGUAUGUGUAUAUAUGUAUAUAAAUGUAUGUAUAUAUAUGUAUGUAUAUAUAUGUAUGUAUGUAUAUGUAUGUAUAUAAAUGUAUGUUUAUAUAUGUAUAUAUAUCUAUGUAUAUAUGCAUACACAUACAAUGUAUAUAUGUCUUAUUUCUAUUUCAACUAAAAGAAACCAAGAUAUUUUUAUGGUAAUAAAAGUGAUUGCUGUUGUUUCAAAAACGUGUAUUUUGUACAUUUCUUGUACUUAUCAAAGUGGAUAGUGAUGCCAGUUUAAAACUGAAUAUUUUAACGUGGAAAAUCAUAUAUCUCUUAUUUCCUUUCUGUAGAUCUUUGAGUAAGCACUUGAGACAACUCUCUUACUGGAAUGGUUCCAUAUGUGUUGGAGAUAGAUGUCGUUAGCUACUCAUUAUGCCAAGUACCGUUGUCAUUUACAACCAAACUUAACAGUAAUUCUAACAUUUAGAAUUUAGAAAGUUAUAGAGCUGUUAUUGUUUAACCCAAGGUCAUUCUUGAUUGUGUGGACCUAUGAUCAAAGGCAUUUUAGCCAGAACUUUCCUUUUUUUUUUUUCUUUUGGCAAGGGGUGGGGGAUAUUAAGAAAUGCAGUAGCCAGUGUGUUCUUUGAGUAUGAUUUGAAGGACAUCUGGUUGCUAUUUCUUGCAAGAUAGCUUUUCUUGUAUUUAGAGACUCUCUCUUUGUUCAUGAAGUGGGUUUUUCUUUUGUUUUUAGAAGCUAAAUGAGUGGUAGACAUUUCUGAUGAAGACAAAUACCUGAUUACUUAACCCUUUAGCAUUUAAACCGGCCAUAUCCGGCCCAAAUUUUCUCCUUCUUUUAUAGAUCUGGUCUCUCACGCAUAUCCUACAAUGACAUCCUCAAAAUAAACCAUCACAUCAUCAAAUUCUCAGAGCUACAAGAUAAUGCAGGAUUAAUUCAAAACAAUGUGAAUGAAAAAGCAUUAUAUUUGACAGAGUAAUCUGAACACUAAGGGGUUAAUUAACUGUUUAGAACUGUUAUCUCUAACCUUUUUCAUACCACCGACUGGCUUCAUGCUGGACAAUCUGGUAGUGGCAUACAUGUGUAAUUUAGGUGUAUUUCAGUAAAGAGCAAUUUAUUAAAGGGAAGAACAAAAUGUAUCAUCUUUUCACUCUCAUGCACUGAAAUUCUUUAAAAUCUGAAAAUAAGUUAAGAUCAGAAAAUUAGUUGAAAAUUAUUGCAAAUGAAUUAAAAUGUACAUUAAUUGUAAAAUGUAAUUACAGUUAUGAUAGAUAGUAAAGGUAGAUGUAAAAUAUACAUUAAAUAUAAAAAUUUAUAUUAAUUAUAAAAUCUACUUACAGCUAUGAUAGAUAGUCUUGAGUAGAUGAAUGUUGAAUAUUCAAACAAAUCUUUUAAAAUUAAAAUUGAAGUCCAAUAUUCAAUUUAUCUAUUAUAUAAUUUUAAACAAGUUAAUUAUUUUGUUGUGACCUGGAAGCAAAUGAUCCACGUACUGGGACCGGUCUGCAGCCUAGUGGUUGAGGACCUCUGGUCUAGAAGACAGGCAGAAAUUAUAUUCUGUACUUUCUGACAUACAAGCUGAUGUAAUGUAUAGUGUAUGCAAUGCUGUGUAGACAUUCUAACAUCAUCAUUAUCUUUCCAAAUUCUAUUCACGUGGAAUUUUCGACCCUUGUUGACUUGCUGUAUAAGCUGGGCUGUGUAUUGUUUUGCUGUAAAUUUUGGUUUGAAAAAUUUCACUUGUAUGCCAGAAAAUAUGGCAUUAUGUGUGUGUGUGUGUAUGCUUUCCCGAUUAACAAAAUUCAUUGUCUAAUAUUUUCAGUUAAUUUUGAAAAUUUCAAGAAUUUGUAGGGAUUUAGUAAAAUAUCUAUUUUUUUUUACCUAUUUAUUGGCAUAUUAAGCGUGCCCUGGUAAGUAUUUUGUUUUUUUUCCCCUUCUUCUAAACUCAGUAACAUAAUUAUCAGCUAAAAUAGGAAUGUUGAUAUAAUCUGUCAAGACCCAGCAUAUGUCACUAUAUUAAGCUGGUGUUUGAAACAUGAAAAUAUUAUGAUAGAGCUACCAUGUUUCAAAAGAGAACACUUUAACCUUUUAGCAUUCAGCUUAUUCUAUCAAGUGAAGGCACAUGGCUCAGUGGUUAGAGCGUCGAGCUUACGAUUGUGAGGUUGUGAUUUCGAAUCCCAGACCGGGCUGCGUGUUGUGUUCUCGAGCAAGACACUUUAUUUCACGUUGCUUCAGUUCACCCACCUGUAAUGAGUUGCGACGUCACAGGUGCCAAGCUGUAUCGGCCUUUGCCUUUCCCUUGGAUAACAUGGGUGGCAUGGGGAGGGGAGGCUGGUAUGCAUGGGCGACUGCUGGUCUUCCAUAAACAUCCUUGCCUGGACUUGUGCUUGGGAGGGUAACUUUCUCAGUGCAAUCCCACGGCCAGUCAUGACUGAAGGGGGUCUGAUCAUAAUGUUUAUUUAUUCACAUUGUUUUGAAUUAGUCUCACAUUAUUUUGUAGCUUUGAAAUAUCGAUGAUGUGGUUGCCUAUUGUUUUAAAAAUGACAUUGCAAGGUAGGUGUGAGAGGCUAGAUCUGGCCAGUUUGAACAUAAAACAGGCAGAAUAUUUUGGCUGGAUAUGGUGGGUUUAAAAGACAAAUUUUUUUUUUUAAACCCCAAAGUAGUCUCAGACAAGUUGGUAUCAAGAAGAUUAACCAUAGUAUUGAAUAAUAAACCAUUUAAGGUUCUUGAUUGGCACUAGCUGUUGGAAAUCUACAAAGUGCUCUUGAACAGUUUCAGAAAAUUUUGUAGUUACAUAUUACAGUAUGGUCUGAAAGUCUCUGUGGAGCUUAUAAUGGAUCCUGUUUGCUAAGAGUCACUUUGGUAAAAUUUGGACAAUGGACACUAAGAGAAUUAGCUGAAAUGCUAGAAUACUAGACAAAAUGCCUUGCUGUAUUUAGGUGUGUAUUCAAGUUCUGUAUUUCAAGUUCAAAUUACACUGAUAUAAACAUUGCCUGUCAGCCUUCUUGGGUCAAUAAAAUAAAGUACCAGUUAAAUAUUGGGAUCGCUAUAAUCAACUUUGAACUGUCUUGAUAUUUGAGGCCUUGUGUCCUUGUUAGCUAUCAAUAUUUAUUUUUGCGUUUCCUCUACAGCUGUUACAGAUGUUGGCUAAGUGAUAAAGCGCUUUAGUUGUUUAACCUGCAGGGUAGACGUGAUUAUGUAGACAUGAUUUUGUUGAUAUUAUCCAAAACAUUUUCAUUACCCAUCAUGUCUUUUGAUAUAUGUGGCACUGUGUUAUUUACUGUGUCUGUCUCUUCAGAAUGGUUGGAUGUGAUUGGUGGUGGGAUGUGGUUUGUUUUUAGCAAUUUGAUCGACUACUUAACCCUUUUGUUACCGUAUUUAUUUUGAGAUGCUCUGUGUUUCUUUCAAUUAUUUUAAAUAUAACAAAGAAUUUAAUAAAAUAAGUUCACUAUCAUUAAGCUAGUGUUAGGAACAUAAAUUGUAACUAAGGUUUGGUGGAAGAUUUAAAUUCAAAACUUCGGUAAACAUGACAUUUGUACUACAGACCCAGGGGCGGUUUCAGCCGGGUUGGUAUUGAAAGGGUUAAAUAUCCAGAUUGGUUGUGAUUGGAAAAUGAUUUUUUCUUAGUUCCAGGGAUGAUGUUUUACCUUUGAUAAUUCUUUUUUCCAAUCUAACACAUCUAGAAUUACAUUAAUUCUAAGUAUUUUUAUUUUAAGACUGUUGGGUUUUAUUUCAGUGAAAUUUGGCUGUUAUUUCUCCAAUUUUGAGUAUCCACAUAGAGUCUCUCCCAUUUGCUCAUUUCUAGAUGGUGUUAACUGUGUGUGAACAUUUUUUUGUCUAUGCAUACACACUGGUAUUUUAUAAAUGUGGAUGUGUGUGUGUGUCUGUCACCAGGGUUUCCGACAACAUUUUUGUGAUGUCUACAUCAUCAUCGUCCAUUUUUCCAUUACUUGCAUAUCUCUUAAUUUUUAAUUGGAUAUUUGAAUCUAUAAAAUAAGAGGCAGGCUUACUCUCUCUCUCCCCGUCUCUCUAGUUUUUUUUCUUCUCUUUUUAACUUAUGCUUAAAUACCAAACUUGACUAUCUGAAAGUUCAAGUUAAAUAUUGCUGUCCUCAGAUAUACUGGUUAGCAUUGCUGGCCUAAUUUGCCAGCAAGUUGAUAAUAUCAGCUACACAUCAUUUCUGAUUCAUCAUUUUAACUCUCUGUUAUGAUCUUGUCUCAUUUGUAUUCAAAUUCUGCUGUGGUUGACUUUGCCUUGCAUCUUUUUGGGGCAAUGAAAUAAGUAUUUAUUGGGCACUGGGCUUGAUGUAAUUGCCUAAACCCCACCUCCUCCAAAACUUCAUUUCUUGUGCCUAUAUUAGAAAGGAUUAUUAUUCCACCCCAGUCUUACUUGAUAAAAUAAAAUAAAUGCACCCUUUUAAAGCCUAGCCAGGCUCAUGGGCCCAGUUUCCCGGUUUCUAUGGCGUAUGUGUUCCCCAGCUGGAUGGGACGCCAGUCCAUCGCAGCGUUACUCAUUUUUGCCAGCUCAGUUGACUGGAGCAAUGUGAAAUGAAGUGUUUUGCUCAAGAACACAACACGUCGCCUGGUCCAGGAAUCGAAACCACAAUCUUACGAUCAUGAUGCUGACACCCUAACCACUAAGUCACGUGCCUCCACAGUCUUACUUGAUAGUACAAUGAAAACACAUAUUAUAAAUAAGGUCUCUGAGCCUCGGUUAAAUCCAAAGUUUUGUUUUGGUUUUGUAUUUUCCUUUGUAUUAGCAUUACUCUGAGUAUAAGAUAUACAGUACCUAGCAGUGUUGCUUUCUAUAUGUUGUGCACAUUGUGCAUUUUCUGGCUUACAUGUCGAUGUAAUAUACAGUGUAAACCAGAGGUUCUCAACCAUUUUUUGUCUUUGGUCCCCUUUGAUUAUCAUUUUAUUCUGGUAUACCCCCAUAGACAUUCAAUGUUUAAAAACUAGUUUUAUAGAAACUUCUUUUGAAAUUCCUAUUUUGUUUUUCGCACAUUAAUUCGUAUAGGUUGAUCUGUGUUAAAUGUUAAAGAAACUUUGCUGCUUCUUACAAUACAUACCAAUACACACACCUAAAGCAAAAUUCUUUCAAGGACUCUUAAAAUACUAUCGUGGAUCCCCAGUUUACUAUUUUGCAGUGUCGACCCCCAAGAAUCUUACAUUGACUCUCAGGGGCCAUAUGGACCCCCAGCUGAGAACCACUGGUGUAAACAUUCAAACAUUGUCAUUAUCUUUCCAAAUCCUGCUGCAUUUCACAUGGAAGUUGUCUUGGUGCAUAAGUUGACCUACCUUUUUUGGCUGUAAAUUUUGGUCUGAAAAAUUCGACUUAUAUGCUGGAAAAUACAGUGUUCCAUAAACACACACAUGCAUGCAUGUAAGCACACACACGCACGCACACAAUAAGCUCUUUUCAAUUUUCGUCUACCAAAUCCACUCACAAGGCUUCGGUCAUCCUGGGGCUGUAGCAAAAGAUACUUGCCCAAGGUGCCACACAGUGGAACUAAACCUAAAACCAUGUAGUUUGGAAACAGACUUGUUACCACAUGGCCAUGACUGCACCUACAAAAAAACAUCCCGGCUGUCAGGAGUGGGAUGUCUCAUGAAUUUCUCCAUUUCUUUAAAGUGUGAUGCAUUAUAAUUGGUUAAGACUGAUAAUUUGAUUAGGAGGCAUUUCCUAUCCUGGGUGUCCUUGACAACGAUAUCCAGUCAAUUAAUCUUGAUGUCUCUGUUUAAAUUUCUGUAUAUGAAAGCCCCAAGUCAAUCAUGUCUGUACAUGUAUUUUCUCUUGGUUGGAACUGGUUGAUCAGAGACUGUGUGGUUAAUUGUUUCUUUCUAAUCUCUACAUGUUCUGCAGUUAUUUAACUCUUUGGCAUUUCGAUUAUUCCGUCCAAUGUUAUGCUUAUUUAUUCACACAGUUUUUUCAUUUAAUCUUGCAUUGUCUUGUAGCUUUGUGAUUUUGAUGAGGUAACUGUUAAUUUUUAGAAGGAUAUUAUAGGGAUGCUGUGAGAGGCCAGAUCUGGCCAGUUUCGGAUCUUUUCGGUUUGAAUGGCAGUUUUUUCUAGCGGUGUCAUAUGAAAUUGUCACCCAUAAUUAUGACCCUAGAAUCGAUCUAUUGCAUUUCAAUCUCUUUUAGGAUUAGGGUUAGGGGUGGGGGAAGGGUAUCAUUUUUUUCUUCACAAAUGUAAAUAAAACCAAUCUGUUUCUUAAACGAGGGACAUAUUCAUACGCCACAGAAUGCUUUUUAACUCAAUAGACAUCAUUGAUUGGUUGAAAUUGCAAAAAUUGAAGAAAAAAACCAACAAAUAUCUUACAAACCAUAGAAUUUUAUCAAUAAAGCCAAGAGAAAAAGAUGUUUUAUAAACACAUUCUACCAGUAUACGAAGUUUAAAAGUUUUUAGUUACCAAGAAAUUAUGUUAAAAACUGCCGUUCAAACCGAAAAGAUCCCCAGUUUCAAUAUAAAACAGGUGGAAUUUUUCAGCUGGAUAUGGCCCUGUUUAAACACAAAAGAAUUAAUGUAUUCCCCUUAUUUCAUCCCUUCAAUGGUUCUAGUGGGAAAGCUAUGAUUUUAUGCUACAGUCACAAUCGAAAAUCCUUCUGUCUCAGCUUCGAGUCCUUGGCCAGUGUUUGGGUUUUUCUUUUAUGUAUUCCCAUUCUUUGACAUACAGGCAUCCACACACCACUGUUUUGUGUGGGGACCGGCAUGUCAAAGAAUGUGCUGUGUGGGCACUAGCAUGUCAAAGAAUAGACUCGAUGUUUCCUCUGUGUGUUGUAAAAGGCUGCUAAAAACAGUUGAAGUAGGCUUUACACUCUGGUCUUGUGAAACCCUCAGCAGACUCAUCAGUUGGAGGGUUGUCACCAGAGUAGUGCAAAAGUGUCAUCCACCAGGAGCAAGGAAUUGCCAACAAAAUGGUGGCUGCAAAUACGCAUUGUUACAGCACUUGCCCUCGUACUACUACUACUCCAAUUGCUUUGAGUGAGUUAGGUUGCUAUCUUUAGCAAAUCAAGUGACUCUUAUUGGUUCGUUUUUUUUCUUUGUUCAAACUGGCCAGGUCCAACCUCUUACAUCUACCCUACAUUGCCAUUCUAAAAAUAUGCAAAAUCAUUGAAAUCUCAAAGCUGUGAGAUAAUCCAGAAUUAAUUCAAAGCAGUGUGACUAAAUAAACAUUCCAUUUGACCAAAUGAUCUGAAUGCUAAAGGGUUAAGAGCCUCUCCCUCCUACAUGGAAUAUAUGCUGUGCCUAUGAAGAGUUAUUUUUGAGGAUUGAUGUUAUGGGAAUUUUGUGAACUUUGGGGUUAUAACUUUACAGGUUAUCUCCCUGAGAUCGCGGGUUCGAAUCUCAGACCAGGUGAUGUGUGUGUUUAUGAGCAAAACACCUAAGCACCACACAGCUCCAGCCGAAGGUAAUGGUGAACCUCUGCUGACUCUUUCGCCACAACUUUCUCUCACUCUUUCCUCCUGCAUCUUGCAGCUCACCUGUGACGAACCGGCGUCCCCGUCCAGGUGGGGAACCUAUACGUCAAGGAAACCGGGAAACCGGCCCUUAUGAGCUGGGGAUGGCUCGAGAAGGAACAAAAAAAGGUUAUCUCCCUGUGUGAUGCACAACCACACCAAAGCAGACAUUAGAACUCGGUGCCAUCUCCUGACUUGCUAUCUCCUGUCAAACCAUCCAACCUAUGCCAGAAUGCAAAGUAAUGCCAGAGUGAUGGUGAUGAUGAUAUUUUUAUUUCUGAUUCCUCAUACCUUUGUUUAUUUCUAUUAAAACAUUGGUAUUCUUUGAAAUUUAGUUUUAAUAUCAUUGUCUUGUGUGUAUUUUUAUAAUUAGAUGUCAUUGCUGAUAGCAAUUUGUUCACCCUAAAAUAAGAGACUUUAUUUAGUGUUAGAGCAGAAUGGAGGUAAAGGAAGUAAUGUACCUUACUUAGAACAUAAAAUUCUGCAAAGCACAGUCUAACAUUUAGGUGCCAGAACUGUAAUUUUGAGUUUUGGGUGAUAAUUAUUCACUGAUUUAGCAAUUCAAAUUAAUAACAUCAAAAAAUUUCCCAGGGACGCCUUCUGCUUAAAGAACAUACAGUUAAGUGCAGUUGUGUGUUGAUCUGUUGCUCUCCUAAUAUAGUGAGUUUGAAUGUGUGCGUAUAUAUGCGUAGACAAACUGAUAUGUAAAUGUAUUUGCUAGUCCACUAGUAUGUAGAUAUUCGUAUGUGUAUAUGUGUAUCACUCUUCUGAUGUAGAGUCUGACAUGCAUGUUUGUUUGUGUGUGUGUGUGUAUUUCAUUGGUUAAUCAAACUGUAUGUGGUAUAUAGACACAAACCUCUACUUGUGAAGACCUGUUGAGGCAAGUGAGAAUCAGAAUCAAAAUCGAAAUUGAUCAACAUUAAUGGAAAUUGUAGCUGUGAUACCAGUGCCGGUGGCACGUAAGUGAACCAUCCGAACGUGACCUUUGCCAGCGCCACCCCGAUGGGCCUCCGUGCUAGUGGCACGUAAAAAGCACCAUCCGAUCGUGGCUGUUGCCAGCCUCACCUGGCCCCCUUACCGGUGGCAUGUAAAAAGCACCAUCUGAUCAUGGCCGUUUGCCAGCCUCGUCUGGCACGUAAAAAGCCCCCACUACACUCACGGAGUGGUUUGCAUUAGGAAGGGCAUCCAGCCUGUAGAAACAUUGCCAGAUCAGACUGGGCCUGGUGCAGCGUUCUGGCUUCCCAGACCCCAGUUGAACCAUCCAACCCAUGCUAGCAUGGAAAGCAGACGCUAAAUGAUGAUGAUGAUAUAGAUAUAUAUAUAUAUAUAUAUAUAUAUAUAUGUAUAUUAGUCAGAAGCAAUGAAGAUAUCAAUAAUUAGUUUAUUUAUAUACAGAUAUAAAAAGUCUCAGAAUUUUCCCUUGGAAAUAAAAUGAAACAUUGCUCAACUUUUUAUGUCAUUAUAAUCUAUAUGUCUAGUACUUAAGAAUCAAUCUCUGUCUCUGCCAUAUGUAUAUAUGUUGUAUAAAUGCACACACACACACACACACACACACACACACACACACACACACACACACACAAGAGUUAUGUGUAUGUGUUUAUGUGUGUGCAUGUGUAUAUGUGUGCGAUAUUUGUGUAUAAGUAAUCAUUGCCUUAUCUAAUAACUUCCACAUCAUAAACACUUGUAUCUAUAGAAGUCUUGAGGGUUUUUCAUCUUUUAAUAUGAUAUAAUAUAUAUAUAUAUAUAUAUAUAUAUAUAUAUAUAUAUAUAUAUAUUCGUUCUUCCAUUCCAUUUAAUCUUCUGGACUAUAUGGUCAGUAAUUCUGAAUUUCCAAUUCAACAAUGAUUUCCGUUACUAUUGCUUGACCCCCCCUUCCCCUCAUCCCACUUGCAAAGCAAUAACUAACAGCCUUCAGUCCAGUUUGGUAUUCAUGAACCAUAUUAUUGGUUCAUGUCUUCUAUAGUAAUUCCGUGCGUCUUAAUAAUUCCAUGCACAUCUUAUGAUGUUUUAAAUCACCUCCAGUGCUUAACUUGUCCUUUCUUUCAUGAGAUCCUGAAAGGAUGAAAUGCACACAGAUGACCUUGGCAAGAUUUGAACUCAAAAUAUAAAGGGAUGUAGGCGCAGGAGUGGCUGUGUGGUAAGUAGCUUUUUUUACAAACCACAUGGUUCCGGGUUCAGUCCCACUGCGUGGCACCUUGAGCAAGUGUCUUCUACUAUAGCCUCGGGCCGACCAAAGUCUUGUGAGUGGAUUUGGUAGACGGAAACUGAAAGAAGCCCGUCGUAUAUAUGUAUAUAUAUAUAUAUAUAUAUAUAUAUAUAUAUAUAUAUAUAUAUAUGCGUGUGUGUGGUUGUGUGUCUGUGUUUGUCCCCAUAACUUAGUGGUUCGGCAAAAGAGACCGAUAGAAUAAGUACUGGGCUUACAAAAGAAUAAAUCCUGGGGGUCAAGUUGCUCGAUUAAAGGCGGUGCUCCAGCAUGGUCACAGUCAAAUGACUGAAACAAGUAAAAGAGUAAAGAGUGGCUAAGUGCUCUAACUCCACAGAAUGUAUCAGGUGCCCUUGGUGUGUUACUGACAUGGAUGCUUCCAACAUGUCACUGGCACAGAUGCCUAUAAUGUGUUGCAGGCACAGGUGCCUCUAACAUGUCGCCAGCAUGGGUGCCUCCAAUGUGUCGCCGGCACGGGUACCUCCAGUGUGCCCCCCACCCCCCAUACCUUCAACAUGUCACUGGCACUGGCUACAACUAUGGUUUCACUAAGCUUGACACAUCUUCUCAAGUACAGCAAAUUUCCAAGUCUUGGUCACUCAUCAUCGCUUCCAUGAGACUCAAUAUCCGAAGAUCAUAUUGCACCACCUCAUCCCAUGUCUCCAGCUGGUGCUAUGUUGUGCAUGUAUGUAUACACACACACACAUACAUGGGAUAUGGCACUUUGGUCUAAGCCACUUUAGUCUAAGAGCAUUUUUGUCUAAAAACAAAAAGGAUUACUAGAGUAUAGUUAUUUAGAUCUUUUACAUUUUUUUUGAGAUUGUAUAGACAAAAUAGUUAUUAGACCAAAGUGAGUUUAAACAAGAAUGUCUUAAUACUAAAUGGCAUUUAGACGAAAAUGACUUUAGACUUUAGUGCAUUUAUACAAAAGUCACCUUAGACCAAAGUUCUUUAGACUGAAGAGUUUUAGAUGAAUAGUCCCAGGUUCACACAUGUACACACACACACACACACACAUAGUUGAUUGUGGAUCAAAUUAUAAUGUCUGAAGAAGUGAGUGAACUCUAAAUUUAUUACAUAAAAUUGCACAAGUUUCGUGUGUAAUAUGGUUUAAAUGGUCAUUCAUUAAAACACAUGCAACAUUAAUUUGAUUUCUCUUUCCUCAAUUAAUAUUAUCGUUAUUCAUUUUGUAAGAAUUAUAACAUACCUGCUUGAAAUAGAUGCCUUGAAUAUGCAAAGUGCUCCUUUAAUAAUUAGCUUACGUAUAACCAAUCAUUCUUUGGUUAAUCAAAAGGUGCAACCUUUAUACUGUUAUUCAAACACUUUCCUGGCCACCAGGUUCCUGCAUGAAGUGCUGCUGAGGUGAGCGCCUGAAUUUUAAUUGUGUGUGUGUGUGUCUCUAUCUCUCUGUAUACAUCAUCAUCAUCAUCGUUUAACUCCGUGAGUGUAGUGGGUGCUUUUUACGUGCCAGACGAGGCUGGCAAACAGCCACAAUCGGAUGGUGCUAUGAUUGAAAUCACAUGGUCUGGUGGUCUUGAAGCUAGGGUGGCAGGAGUUAUCUCCCACUUGCAAUAAAUAUUGAGCGUGAAAGCGCACUAAAUUAACCAGCUGGAGAAGAUGUCUUCCUGGGGUUAAAAUAGCUGUAUCAUCUUCUCUUAGAGAACACCCAUGUUAAAUUGGUGAUAAACACUACCCUUAUGCACUCAUACACGCACACACACACGCAAUAUUAUAUGCAUAUGCACACCAUGUGAUCACUCUGUGAAUACCGUCAGCUGGCUUUCUAUAUUAUAACCACAGGUUGGCCAAUAUCUCUUGAGCUUAAUAGCAGACAGAAACUGAAGAAGCCUGUCAUAUGUAUUUGUGUUUAUGUGAGUUUGCCUUUCUUUUCAUCAUCAUGUGUGUCCACUGACUGAACAACAGUCUUACUGUCCACACAGAUGGUACCUUUUUCUUGCAGGUGACCAUGGAAGCAUGUCAGAGUUCAUUGUUCAAACGGUGUCAUUUGUUUUCAGUUCUCUGCAUAGCCAGGUCUAGACUGUUAGAUUAGAUAUUCGAUAGAGCUGGGGAUUAUUACCUUAACUGGAAUCAAAGUGAGGGUUGAUAGCAGGAAGGACAACCAGCUGUAGAAAAGUUUUCUUGAUGAAUUUCGCUUGACCCAGUGGACUUUAACCCUUUAGUGUUCUGAUUAUUCUAUCAAACCUAAUGCUUAUUGAUUCCCAUUGAAUUCCUAUUUGAAUUAAUCAUGCAUUAUCUCAUAUCUUCAAGAUCUUGAUGGUGUAAUUACUUAAUGUAGAAUAACAUUGUAGGGUAGGUGUGAGAGCCUGGAUCUGGUCAGUUUGAACAUAAAACAGAUUAGCUAUUUUGGCCGGAUAUGGCUGGUUUAAAUACUAAAGGGUUAAGGAAACGAUGAUGAUUAUAUAUAAAAAAUGGAUGUUAAAUGAUCUUUUGAAGGUUGAUAAAAUAAGAACCCCCUGAAAUUGCUGGCCUUGUGCUAAAAUUUGAUACCAUUAUUUGUUCAAACUCUGGUGAUACCAUUAUUUGUUCAGACUUUGCCCUUCAUCCUUUCAAGGUUAGUAAAAUAGCACUAGUGUCAAUAUAAUCAACUAGUCCUCUCUCACCAAAAGUUUCAGGUGUUGUGACUAUUGUAGAGAGGAUUAUUAUUAUUAUUAUUGAGUGUGAGAGCAGUGCAUGCCAUCAAAGUAAUACUGGAGUACAAAUAUACAAAGCCCAGUUUACCCAUCAUGACUAUCCGUCUGAUAAGAUAACACCAGACACAUGCAUCACAACUAUAUGUGUGCAACAUGGUGAUCUCAUAUCAAGAUAAACAGCACAUGACCUUGCAGGUGGGGGGCGUAGUUAGAAUUUUCUUCAGGUCGAGUCACCCAUCCCACUCAAAAAGUCCUUGAAUAAAGGUUGUUUAAGGAUGUUGAAUGAAACACCCAUGUUUCCAGAGAUGAAUUAUUCAAACCCCAAAGAUUUUCUCUCAAUACAUGGCUAUGAGCUCCCCCCACUACUUCUGCUCAUGAUCAGAGAUGUUAGCCACCAAAGGACAACUGGUUACAGUCAAACAACUGACAAGCAAAUCUGGUAUUGAGCAGAAUAUUAGUUGUAGCCCAUCUUUUAUACCAAGACAAAACAAUGCACAUGAUAACACUUCCAAUCAGUUAAGAUCAGGAGCCAUGAGAACCACUGCCUGGUACUGGAUCAGGGCAUUUAUUAUUAUUAUGGCAGUGAGUUAACAGAAUUGUUGAAAUGUUGGGAAUGAAAUGAACUGUGGUAUUUCUUAACUCUCUGCCCUCAAAAUAGCUGGUUUUGUGCCUAAAUCAGAAAAGAACUAUUAAGGGUGGUGGACAGGUAUAACCGUUGCAGUGUUGGAAAAAUGCCUUACAGUAUUAAUUCUGACUUUUUGGGUUCUAAAUUCAAAUCCUGCAGACAGCAGACAUUUAUAAUGCUAAAAUUCGUUUCUUCAAGUGCUGUUGCAGAAACUCUUGUAACUUGAAGAAAUGACCAUCCUACUUGCUUCUGAUGAAAACAAAUUUGUUAUUUUACUGUAUUUUAUUUAUUUCAUUUGUGUGCCAUGUAAAAAGUACUGGUGAUGGUGCCACUUAAAAAGCACUGGUGAUGGUGCCACUUAAAAAGCACUGGUGAUGGUGCCACUUAAAAAGCACUGGUGAUGGUGCCACUUAAAAAGCACUGGUGAUGGUGCCAUGUAAAAAGCACUGGUGAUGGUGCCACUUAAAAAGCACUGGUGAUGGUGCCACUUAAAAAGCACUGGUGAUGGUGCCACGUAAAAAGCACUGGUGAGGGUGCCACUUAAAAAGCACUGGUGAUGGUGCCACGUAAAAAGCACUGGUGAUGGUGCCACUUAAAAAGCACUGGUAAUGGUGCCACUUAAAAAGCACUGGUGAUGGUGCCACUUAAAAAGCACUGGUAAUGGUGCCAUGUAAAAAUCACUGGUGAUGGUGCCACUUAAAAAGCACUGGUAAUGGUGCCAUGUAAAAAGCACUGGUGAUGGUGUCACUUAAAAAGCACUGGUGAUGGUGCCAUGUUAAAAGCACUGGUGAUGGUGCCACUUAAAAAGCACUGGUGAUGGUGCCACUUAAAAGCACUGGUAAUGGUGCCAUGUAAAAAGCACUGGUGAUGGUGCCACUUAAAAGCACUGGUGAUGGUGCCAUGUAAAAAGCACUGGUGAUGGUGCCACUUAAAAAGUACUGGUGAUGGUGCCAUGUAAAAAGCACUGGUGAUGGUGCCACUUAAAAAGCACUGGUGAUGGUGCCAUCUAAAAAGCACUGGUAAUGGUGCCAUGUAAAAAGCACUGGUGAUGGUGUCACAUAAAGAGCAUUGGUGAUGGUGCCACUUAAAAAGCAUUGGUGAUGGUGCCACUUAAAAAGCAUUGGUGAUGGUACCUAUAAAAAGCACCCAGUAUACUCUGUUAAGUGGUUAACAUUAGGAAAGGCAUCGAGCUGUGGAAACCAAGCCAGAACAGGUUAUGGAACCCGGUAUGAUCCCUGGCUUUGCCAGUUCCUGUCAAGCCAUCCAAUCCAUGCUAGCAUGGAAAAUAGACAUUAAAUGAUGAUGAUGACGAGUAUCUAGAAAUUUCUACAUUCAUGCUGUUGUAUCAAAAGCAUUGUAUCUUGUCUCUCGGCUAAUCUGGGUCAUUGAGUGGAAGAUCAUUGUUAUUAACUGGUCUCCUACAAAGUUUAUUCAUGCUAAGCUAUAGCAGCACGUAAUUCAUUACAUACAAAAACUUAAUUCUACUGAAUGACUUCGAGCUGGGAGCCAAUCUUAAUCAUCAUAUACAGUGCAUGAAACACUAUUAAAUAUUUUAGAGCAUUAGACAAAAUGAUAUGUGGUAUUUGUUCUGGCUCUUUAAGUUCUAAGUUCAAACCCUACUGAGGUCAGCUCUGUCUUUCAUCCUUUCAAGGUCAAUAAAUUUAAGUACCAGUCUAGUAACGUCAUCAAUGGUAUUAACUAAAUCCCUCUGUCCAAAAUUGCUGGCCUUGUACCAAAAUUUGAAACCCUUAUUAUUGUUAUUAUUACCGAUGUUGUCAAACUGGUUCAGUCCCACUGUGGCACUUUAGGCAAGUGUCUUUGCAUGUGUGCUUGUGUCUUCUUGUCUCGACACUACCUGAUAGUCUCACAAGAAGUGUCCUUUGUUUAUAAAGUGCUGUGAAAAUAUGUUUGGUCAUGAGGAAAUAUUAACUUGUUUGGGAAAAGGUGAAAGUUGGUGAUGAGAAGAAUAUCUGGCUGUAGAAAGAUUAAAACCUAUCUCAGCGAAUUCUGUUUGAUGCAUGCAAGCAUGUAGAAGUGGACAUUACCACAGUGAUGUUCAUAAUGCAUGUGCACAUAUGCACACACACACACACACACACACACACACACACACAAAGUAGCGAAAAGCCACAAAGUAAGAAAGUAAAACUAUUUGGCUCACAACUCCAUACACAAGAUGCUAAGUAUUUCAUUACUUCAUUCUUGAAAUUUAUAUUUAUCUGACUCCUGUGUCCCCACAUCAGACAGAAGCUAUUAAUUUGAAUUGCACACAGCAUUACAUGUUUGUGCUGAGGUGAAUUACCUUUGGCAUUUAAUGCAUAUAAGAGCUUUUUCCAUUGUAGCAGUUCUACAAUGUUAGGAGAGAGUUCAUAAAGUGUCAUGAAAAUGUCAACCUCACCACUUUUAAUGUUACUUUGUUUCUGCAAAUUUCAAGUUAGAUUCUUCAACACAUUGAAUUUCAUAGACUUAAUUGUUUUUCUUUUUCUUCUGUUGCAGGUGUAUUCUAAUUCUACGGUAAAGCAAACCAGCUGAUAAGACUUAAAACAGCCUUAAAAGUGAGUUACUUAAUCUCCUUGAUUUUAUUUGCAUUUCUCAUGAUAUAUAUCUUAUGUCAUUUGCGAAAGUUAUAUCUUUGGAACCACCCUCUGCUGUUCCUAUAAGCAUUAUUGCCAAACCUGUCAAGCAUGAUAUAAUUCCUGUUUCCCCCACAGAAAGAUUAUUUUUAUCACCUUGUUCUGAUAUUUACAGAUAUUUCUCAGUAUUCAGUGAAUGUGUCCAAUUAUACUAACAGCUUUCCAAACAAAUCAUUUUUUUCUCUUUUUAGUUUUUUUUCUUGGAAGGCUAUAAGGCUAUAACGGUUCAUUAGUAUUUUUUUGGUGGUUUUAUAAAGAAUGAGUUUGAGUGUGGGAGGAUGAUGACAGGGGUGGGGUGUCUCCUAAAUAAUUAUUAGCUGCAUUAAAAGUUAGUGUAGAAUAUAUAAAAACUAUCGAAUAUUUUUAAAGACAGGCAAAAAAAUAAAUAAAAUAAAAUAAAAAUAAUGAAAUAAGAAAAGCAAAUGAAGAACUUUUGACACAGUUAAAUAUCUAAUUGUUUGAAAUGAGUUGUUGCUAAUUAGAUAUUAUAAUUUAAUCAGUCUAUUAACCUCAUCUUUUUAGAGGUGAAAGAUUUUCCAAUAUUUGUAUCUAAAUUAUCAUUGAGUUUGAUUAGUUUGAUCUUUCGUCAUCAGGUGUCUUAUUCCUGAAUGUAUAGCCAAAUCUUACUGGAUUUGUGCCACACACAUAAUAGUAAAUUAAGAUCAAGGAGUCAAACAAAUGGAGAUGUAGUGUGGCUAUAAAUAUUGAAAAAAAAAAAAAUCUUUUAUUACUUGUAAUGGAAUUUUUAGCCCUUUUGUUACUGUAUUUCUGUUACUAUACACUGCCUUAGCUUCAAUUAAUUUUGCAAAUACUGAAGAAUUUGUUUUUAUUGGCUCUUACUGUGCAGGAACUAAGCGUACUUGGUUCUGUCUAUGUGUGCUCAAGCCACAGGAACCAGGGUAACUCAUUUCUGGUUGUAGGGUACUUUUUGGAUUUCUCAUUUCAUAUGACAUAGUGUACACAAUUUCAAUCAAUUUUUAACAAAUUCAGUAUCUGCAUGUUAGUAGUCUGGUAUUUGGAACAUAAAUUAACAAGAAAUUUUAAUGCAAAGUUUCAAUUUAGAUAUUUUAAAACAGGAAGUUUGUUUCAUAGAACUAUGGGUGCCUUAGGCAGGUUGGUAGUUAGUAAAAGGGUUAAAUACUGUAAAAUGAAAAUCUUAUUGGCAUGGUUUCCUGAUGGUAUUUCUGUUGAGCUCUAACUUAGGAAUUAGUUUGAUAUUUUAACAUUUAAUAAAUUAUUUAUAAAUAAAAAUUUAUUAUGGGAUGUAAUUUAUGAAUGUGCUCAGAAUUUUACAUCAUGUAUCUCACUAAUCACCAUUGAUAAAAGAUAUGCAGGCAUUGUUGAUAUAUAGGCGAAGGAGUGGCUGUGUGGUAAGUAGCUUGCUUACCAACCACAUGGUUCUGGGUUCAGUCCCACUGCGUGGCACCUUGGGCAAGUGUCUUCUACUAUAGCCUCGGGCCGACCAAAGCCUUGUGAGUGGAUUUGGUAGACGGAAACUGAAAGAAGCCCGUCGUAUAUAUGUAUGUAUAUGUGUGUGUGUUUGUGUGUCUGUGUUUGUCCCCCCAACAUCUCUUGACAACCGAUGUUGGUGUGUUUACGUCCCCGUAACUUAGCGGUUCGGCAAAAGAGACCGAUAGAAUAAGUGGUAGGCUUACAAAGAAUAAGUCCUGAGGGUGGAUUUCCUCGACUAAAGGCGGUGCUCCAGCAUGGCCGCAGUCAAAUGACUGGAACAAGUAAAAGAGUAAAAAAGAGUAAAGAGUAUAUUACUGAGAAGCUUUGCUAUAAAAGGUAUACAUUAAUGCUUUUUUCUUCAAUUUAUGGGUACAAGGAAGGACACCUAGCUGGAAAACAGCAUGCAAAAACAGCCCCAACAAGAGCACUCAAAGAGCGCAAACCUCCACCAAAGCAACACCAAUGUCCUCUCAAUGAUUAGCUGGAGACGAUUUUUUUAAAUGAGAAUAUCUGAAAUAAACUCAACUGUUCUCACAAAUGAGAAUACUAAAAAUGAACUCGACUGCUCUCAAAAAUUAAGUGGAAAAAAUGAAAAAUAAUCCAGAAUCCUCGACCGGUACUGGAUUGAUCCCAAAAUCUAAUCAGUUCGUGCCAGUCACAAGGCCAAAUAUCCCUGAAAGUUUCAUUCGAAUCCAUCCAGCGGUUCUUAAGAUAAACAAACACAACUGAAAACAAUACCUCUGCCUUCACUAAGGCAGAGGUGAAUAUUAGUAGAUAUGUAUGGUAGCCUGCUUUCUCUGAGCAGGUCUAUGGUCUAAGGCAUUCCAAUUGUAACCAUCCUGUCUAUUUUUCAGGCAUAAUUUAUCUUGAAUGACAUUACCCAAUAUGUCCUUCCUAGUUUUUGAAGAUGAUUAGGGGAGAGGGGGCAGGAUCUGAGGGAGAUUUGGAUGGUAUUUUUAGCAGAUUAAGCAGGCACAUAGAUGCUCUUAUAUUAUUUUGAAAUAGCUUCAGUAGUGUGUUUAGAGCAGUGGUUUUCAACCAGGGUUCCGCCAGUACAGUCCAGGGGUUCCGCAAGAAGUUACAAAACUGCUAAAAUCGGCAGUAAUUUUUAAUUCUCCUGUGCAGAUAUGUGUGCAUAAGACAAUUAAAUUAUUGCACAGGGGUUCCUCGAGCCAGUGGAAUGUUUCCUUGGGGUUCCGCUCCAACAAAAAGGUUGAAAAGCACUGGUUUAGAGAAUAAGUAACUAGUAGAUAUAAUGAACAAACAAAGAUGUAGACUCUACAGGCCUCAAGGAUAGUUACCUUAUCUAGGAUGGAAGAUAGCCCCAAAUAAACUCAGACGCAUGGCUGAGGAAAAGUCUGGAAUUCUGACAAGUAAUCUCAUUUGUGCCAAUGGUGUGAUAAAAUAUUCCCAGUGUUUGCUGUAAAGUGGCUGACAAUAGGAAAGGCAUCCAGUCGUAAAAACCAUGUGAAAACAUGCCAUAUACAGCAUUAAAGUUGGCCAUUUUUCUCUAUUGUUGUGUGUGCUAAGUGUUGAGUGGCAAGAUGCUAUAAAAGCCAUUCAACUCAUGCCUGCAUAGAAAAACAGGCAUUAAAGUUAUUUUAAUGAGUGGUGUAGGUCUACUUGUGUGUUAAUUAAGAAAAUAUAAUUAAAGCAAUAGAAGUGCUUUCUUGAAAGUCUGUCUUUCCAGCUAAUUUGUCCAAUUUUAAUGCCUUAUGAUGAUAAUGACAUAGGUUUAAAACUAAAGACAUGAUUUUUAUGUUUUUUUUGAUAUUUUGUUCAUUUAUAAAUUUUAUUGAUUAAUUAUAUGUAUUUUGAAAUUGCUUGUUUUGUUGUCAUUAUUUUUUUAAUUCAUAAUUAUUGUCCACCAUAAUUUCUUAUUUUCCUUUUAUUUAUUUAUUUAUUUAUUUGAAAUAUAUUUUGAAAUUACAUGUUAUUUUCUGUUCAUAAUUAUUGCUCCCAACUUCUUAUUCUCUUCUAUCACAUGAAUUUGAGUCACCUAUGUAAGAAAUUGAUGUUGCCUACACUCUUGUAUUCUCACACACUUUCAUACCAAUACCACUCUUACCUUUUCUCAUUCACACCUUCUCACUUUCAACCAAUCUAUUUUUCUCACAUCAUACACUUUCACUUUCUCCUCUAUAGAUAUUCUCUUUUGAUUAUACUCUUUCUCUCUCACAUACUCUCUCUUACUUCUUCUUUCUUUAUCAUGUACUUAUUCUGAUUUUCACUCAUGCAAUUUUUUCUUCAUGUUUUUUUCCACUUUUUUUUUACUCAGUGUUUUUUUUUUACCCACUCAACACGCACUUUCUGUUUUAUUUUGUUUCACUAUUUCCUUCUCUCUCUCUCUUCCUUUCUCUCUUUCUCUCUCUUCGUCUCUUCUCUCUCUCUCUGUUCCCCUCUCUUCUUCUCUUCUCUCUCUCUCUGUUCCCCUCUCUUCUCUCUCUCUUCCCCUCUCUUCUUCUCUUCUUCUCUCUCUCUCUCUCUGUUCCCCUCUCUUCUUCUCUUCUCUCUCUCUUCCCCUCUAUUCUUCUCUUCUCUCUCUCUCUCUUCCCCUCUCUUCUUCUCUCUCUCUUCCCCUCUCUUCUCUCUCUCUCUUCUCCUCUCUUCUUCUCUUCUCUCUCUCUCUCUUCCCCUCUCUUCUCUCUCUCUCUUCCCCUCUCUUCUCUCUCUCUCUCUUCCCCUCUCUUCUUCUCUUCUCUCUCUCUCUUUUUCCCUCUCUUCUCUCUCUCUCUUCCCCUCUCUUCUCUCUCUCUCUCUCUCUCUCUCUCUCUUUUCCCCUCUCUUCUCUCUCUCUUCCCCUCUCUCUCUUUUCAUCAAAAACAAAAUACAAAUUGUAAUCCUACAAAUAGCUGUGACAUUAAUCUCUCCUUUAAGCCUGCCAAUUCUAUAUAUGCAGGUACAAAUUGGACUAUUCAAACACAAUGGCAAACUAGAUUCUCUUGUCCAUCUUACAUAGCGUUAUAUUAAGUUCUCUCACAAUUUUCUCAGAAAGAAGUGUUGUGGUGGUGGUGGAGCCCCGAAAAAAACACAAAAAAAAAAAAAACCCCUGACUCCUCUGAGAACACAAAUUGAGAUGUAACACAUACAGACUGUGACAUUGCAAUAGGAAGCACUUAAUGCUAUUUAAAUACUGGGGAUGGAAAUGAAUACAGGCAAUUACCAAUGUCUGAACAAUUCCUGAAAAGUAGUCCAAUAGUUUAUGCAACUGAUUUUCUUUUUUUUUUUUUUUGCUAUGGAGUAUUUAAAUUUGAUUAUUUCUGGAUGAGUUUACACAGGAGGUGUAGGUGGUUUGUGGGGUUUCAGAAUAACUUGAGCAUUUCAUUUAUUGUCUAAAGACUCAAAACUUUCGUUACUGAAAGUGGUUAUUGAAUAAGGCUGGGCUAUAAAAAGUAAUGAAGUUCUGUUAUUAAGGUGAAUGGUAGGUUCUGUGUGAUAAAUUGCUAGCUUUCCAGAUUGAUCCCACACAGAUACCAUAUCACAUACCCUUGUUUUACACAAGUCAAUAAUUGUAUCAUAUUGAGACAGGUGCAAGUGUGGCUACAUGGUAAGAAGUUUGCUUUGCAACUGCAUAGUUUUGGGUUCAGUCCCAGUGCAUAGCACCUUGGGCAAGUGUCUUCUGCUAUAGUGCUGAGGCAACCAAAACCUUGUGAGUGGAUUUGGUAGAUAAAAAUUGAAAGAAGCCUAUUGUGUGUAUGUGUAUGUAUGUAAUAUAUAUAUAUAUAUGUAUGUAUAUAUCAUCAUUAUCAUGUUUUAAAUCUGAGUUUUGUGCCUGUUAACGGGGGUGGCCAGAUCUACCUCAAUGCCAUAGCAACUGAGGUAGGCAGGUGCAGCCCACCCCAAACUUUGGGCUGGCUGGCUGGUGCCCAUUCUCCUUUGCUAUAAUAAGGUUUUUUUGGUGCUGAAUUUUCUACGGGGAACAUGCCCUUGCUUACCUCCAACCUCAGUUUUUAGACAUGAGUGGUCCCGAGACCAAGGCCUCUACCAUGAUUUUUAAGAAAUGUGGUGGUAAACUAGCUCAGGAAAGCAGGAAUGCUACUCCCUGACACCCCUUUUGGAGCCCCCCUCCCACAUACCUAUAUAUAUAUAUCAUCAUCGUUUAACAUCUGCCUUCUGUGCUGGUAUGGGUUGGACAGUUUAACAAGAGCUGGCCAGGCAAAAGACUGCACCUGACUUCUGUGUCUGUUUUGGCAUGGUUUUUACAGCUGGAUGCCUUUCCUAACACCAACCACCCUGCAGAGUGGACUCCAAUAUACUCAUAUAUAUAUAUAUGAAUAAAGGAGUAAGCAUAACUAUAGUCACAGGCGUAUGUGUAUGUAUGUGUGAGUACAAAAUAAUACAAUAAAAAGAUAAACAGGCAAACAAUAGAUAUUAGGUCAGAUUAUGACAUAUUUAUAUUUACAUUGCAUAAACAAGUAUAAAUCACAGAUCAUUAAAAAAAGAUCCUUUAUGUUUAAAAAUCAUAAGAAUUUAGAAACUUCAAGAGAGAGUGAAAUCAUUUUUUUUUUAUAUAUUUUGAUACUUAAAGUAAUUAAAGCUGUAAAUAAUAGCUUGUAAAUAUUGGGCUUAAAAACAAAACAACAUUGAAAUGUAAGGUAUGUCUUUUAAGUAAACAUUACACAAGGUUAAAACAUUGCAGGGGAAAAUAACCAUUUUAUUCACUUUUGACAGCAAGGUGAAAUUCUAUGAUCAUUAAGAACAUAUAACCUCACACAUGCACACAUGUUCAUGCACCUGUGUACAUGCAUGUAUAAUCUAGAAUAUUUUACAGAUUGCUGAAAUAUUUUUUUUUAUUAAUUUGUAAUGAAUAUUUUUUUUCCUUUUUUGUUAUCAGAGUAGAUAUAACAUUAUUUUACUGUUGCUUACGUUUUAUUGACCUUUAAAGAACACAAGUCCAAUGAGUUGAUGUUGAUAAGAUUUGAAUGCUUUGUUGUGAGGUCAUCAGAUACUGUAGAAUCAUCUCUCUACUUUUUGUGCCAUCUUAAGAGAUGGCACAAAAAGUUAUCCUUUGGUGUGGUUGAACAACCUAUCCCAACCAUCUGGAAUCCACUGUGUGGAUUGAACGGUUCAUCCUUUUGACCACUGAAUACAAAACGUGGCUUGCAAGACCCCCGGUCAGGGGAUUUUCCUGGGUUAUCAUCUGUAGCAAGGUUUCCCCAGUUGCAGCUUAGUAAGUGGUAGUCGCAGUAAAGUUCCUUCCUGAGUCAUAUAAACUCUUAAGGGCCAGUUAGUUUCUUGGUUUCUAUUGCAUAUAAAUUCCCCACCUGGAUAGGAUGCCAGUCUAUUUGCAGGAUUACUCAUUUUUGCUAGCUCAGUAGACUGGAAUAAAGUGAAAUGAAGUGUUUUGCUUAAGAACACAAUGCACUGCUGGUAUGGAAAUUGAAACCAGGGCUGGAUUAAGACUGAUAGAGGCCCUGAGCACUUGGCAGAUUUUGGUGCCCCCAUGUAUAUGCAAUUCAAAAUAUAACCAACAAUAAACCAUGAAAUAAAUUUUUAUUUUUUAAAAUGAAACAAAACUAACAGUAAGAUAGAAAAUAAUGUUUAUUUUCAUAUACUUCCACUUUAUUUAUAUCUGAAAAAUUUUCUCCCACUUUGAUUUUUAAUUUGCAAAGUCUUUAACCAGAUCCUCCUUGGACACCACGAACACUUCGAAAUUAUAUUUCUAAUCAUAUAAACAACUUUCAAUAUUAUUUUUGGCAAGUAUAAAGUGAUUUCAUUUGUGACAUAAACCAUUUACCAUUUCUUUGGGGGUCCCUCAUCCUCGCCUUCCCAUCGUGCCCUAAGCACGAGCUUAUUUUGUUUAAUAGUUAAUCCAGCACUGGUUGAAACCACAAUCUUGCAACCCUGAGUGCAAUACACAUUAGGUCAUGUGGCAUCUCUACCUAGAUAGCCUAAAGUAAAGUUUCCAUCAGGAUCAGUCUUAUGGGCACAUAAUAAGAAUCCUGGCACUAGCAGAAGAAAUAUAAUCUAUUAGUAUUAUGCUUUUAUUCUUCUUCUUUUACUUGUUUCAAUCAUUUUGACUGCUGCUUUGAAGGGUUUUAGUCGAACAAACUGACCCAGGGCUUAGUUUUUAAACCUAGUACUUACUCUAUCGGGCUCUUUUGCCAAACUGUUAAGUUACAGGGACAAUAAACACCCCAACAUUGGUUGUUAAGCAGUAAUGGGAGGACAGACACAAAGACACACACACAUAGAUAUUCAUAUGUACGCUGGGCUUCUUUCAGUUUCUCUCUACCAAACCUACUCACAAGGCUUUGGGUUGGUCUGAGGCUAUAGUAAAUACUUGCCCAAGGUGCUACACACCGAGACUGAACCCAGAAUUAUGUGGUUGAGAAGCAAGCUUCUUACCACCCAGCCACACCCGUGCCUGUUAUUGAAUUUAUACAUUUUUAUUGAGUUUAUGUUUAUUAUUGAAUUUAUACAUUUUUAAUGGCAAUGUAAAAGAAUUUCUAUAGACAACAUGUCACUUGUGAGACGUUUGGAAAGGACCAAAUUUUAAACAAUAAAAUUCAUUUAUAUUAACUGCUGUUUCGUGGAGCCAGAACAGUAAAUUCUUUUUGGCACUCUUGUUGGUAGUUUUCAAAAAUAGCAAUGGAGAAAAGUAGAGAAGUGUUGAACGUAUUAAGAAAGCUGUUUAUAUCCUGAUUGUUCUUUACAGCCGAUGAAGACUUUCAUAAUUACUUUUAUCUUCUUUCACUAAAUGGUCUUGUUAUACUAAUAACUUCUGUAAUUUGACAUCUUGUACGUACAAGAUCUAAUGUGUUAAUUGGGUUUUUGUAUGUUUACCAGACAUCAUAUAUAUAUUUAUAUAUAUGUUGUUAUAUACGAACAAGAAAAAAAAAAGUAAUCACUACAAGAGAAAAUCAUCGUCAUCUGUGAAAAUCUAUGUUGCUCUGAAUUAUAGAUUUCUUUUGACAAGGCAUCAGGCCAAUUGAAUCAAGUUUGAUAUAUUAUUCUAACUCUUUGUAGUACCGAUCUUAGUUGAAAGGUUAAAGAGUUGCAUUACGGAUUCCAAUUUGUUAGUUAUGACGCAUUAAACUAAACAUUGCGAAAUUUCUAAUGUCUGGUUGUCUACUAUCUAUGCCAUUGUUGAUGUGGUGAUAGGAUUUUUAUAAAACCAUUUGCUGUGAGCCUUUAAGGAGUUAACUGGCACUCUAGCUUUAUGUAGACCAUUUCUUUCUACACAUUCACUGUGUGCUGACUUCAGAGCAAUCAACUUCUGGAGAAUCUAAACAUUUUGUGUCUUGAGGAAGGGCCAACAGGAAUAUGAUGAUUAUGAUCAAGCCAAUGAGGGAAUCUCAAAAGGAUCACUUAAACUGCUGAAAAUAGCAGCCCAAUCUCCCUCAAGUGACACAAUCUUAAAAAGGAGGGCCAACAGGAAUAUGAUGAUGAUGAUCAAGCCAAUGAGGGAAUCUCAAAAGGGUCACUUAAACUGCUGAAAAUAGCAGCCCAGUCUCCCUCAAGUAACACAAUCUUAAAAAGGAGGGCCAACAGGAAUAUGAUGAUGAUGAUCAAGCCAAUGAGGGAAUCUCAAAAGGGUCACUUAAACUGCUGAAAAUAGCAGCCCAAUCUCCCUCAAGUGACACAAUCUUAAAAAGGGGAAAGACAUUUAAUAAUGUUCUUGAUACAUACUGUUUGAAAAAAUGGGAUGGGCUUAGCUCAAAUGUCUUUCGUCAUAGGAAGAUCUACCUAAACAUUUUAGAAAUUUGGUAGGUUUUUAGGAAUGAUUAGGUAGAUUAGUAUGUGUAGUUCUUUCCCCCUUUUUUUUUUUUCACUUAACGAGUUUGGAGUAUAUGUGUUUGUGUUAACUCAGUUAAGUAAUGUGUGUUGAUAAAUUAGUCUUUGUGUGAAAUGAGUGUUUUGUUCAAGAACACAAUGUACCACCAGUCUGGGAAUUGAAAUCACAAUCUUUUGGUUGUGAGUGUGACUCCCUAACCAUUAGGCCAAGUGCCUUAUUGUGUAUGUUAUAUUGACGAAAUCAAUAUCAAGUGAUAUAUUGAUAGGCCUGUCAAUGACUGUGUAUCUUUGGAUUUUGUUCAUAAGAAAUAUACACUUAUGCUUCAGUGUAAACCAAAUUAAUAUCCAGAUAGGAGGGUUCGUUACUGUUUUAGGAUAUAUGUGUUGAGAUCAUAUGAAUUAAGUAAUUGCUUUCCUGGGUUUAGAUUGCAUAUUACAUAGGUUUUUGAUGCAAUAUUUAAUUGCUUGGUGAUAUAUCAUGUUUUUACAGAUAGACACUGCCUUGGUGUUUCAAUUCAUUUUGGGAGUAAUCAAGAAUUUAGCAGAAAUUUAAUUAAAUAAUUAACUGUUUCGUGAAGCUGGGGUUUGGAACAUAAUAGGUUCUUACAUAAGAUUUUGAUAAAGGGUUUUAAUUUAAAUACAUUUUUAAACAGGAGCUUUUCAAUCACAGACACAGAGAUGGUCUUAGGCAGGUUAGUGAAAAAAUAAAAAUUAAGGGAUCUUUUCGGUUUGAACGGCAGUUUUUAACAUAAUUUCUAGGUAACUAAAAAAUUUUAAAGUUCGUAUACUGGUAGAAUGUGUUUAUAAAACAGCUUUUUCUCUUGGCUUUAUUGAGAAAAUUCUAUAGUUUGUAAGAUAUUUGUUGUAUUUUUCUUCAAUUUCUGCUAUUUCAACCAAUCAGUGACGUCCAUUGAAGUUAACAACAUUCUGAGCCGUAUGAAUAUGUCCCUCGUUUAAGAAACAGAUUGGGUUUAUUUACAUUUGUGAAGAAAAAAAAGAUACCCUUCCCCCACCCCUAACCCUAAAACAGUUUGAAAUGCAAUAGAUCAAUACUAGGGUCAUAAUUAUGGGUGACAAUUUCAUAUGACACCGCUAGAAAAAACUGCCGUUCAAACUGAAAAGAUCCAAAUUAAGUAUUAUACAGUUUUACCAUGAACUACAAAGUUUAGCUGAAAUAAACACUAAUGUUUCUCACAGACACAUUGAUACUUUUUUAAAUUCUAUUUUUUGGUUUUAAUUCACUUCUAUUGCAGUUUAUCCAUUUUUGCCUUUCUUUUUCCAUGGUGUCUUUUUCUCUAUUUCUCUUGCCUGCCCUCUCUUCUCUUUUCAAAUCUAUUCUUUCAUGCACCUGUUUUUUCUUAACUCUCAACUUUUCUUUCUUCUCUCUUUAUUACUAGCUUCUUCCUUCCCUCUUUCACUAUCCUUUCUUCUUUUUCUUUUCCUUCUCUCUCACCUGUUCUCUUACCUCUCACCUGUGAUUUCAUUUCUUUCUCAGCUCUUUCUUCUUCUAUUACUCCCCUUUUCUCUCUAUUUUAUUUUAAUCAUUGAGCAUUCAUUUUUGCUCAAUUAUUUUCUGAUUCUUUAUUUAAAAAGAAAACCUUAACUACACUUACUGUAGCCAAAAACCCUUAUCAGUUUGAUCAAAUAUAUAUUUGUCUAUCAACUUUCCUUAUUAACUUGUUUGUUGAAACUAACACUGAGUGUAUUUUCAAUUCAGUAAAACCUCAGUAUGUCUACUAAACCUUCCGUGUGACAAACUAUUACUCAAUCACCCAUAGCUAUAACUUCAAUUCAAAGUGUGUUAGUGUUUCUCUUUGACUAUUUUAUUUCUUCAUAAAUUAAUGAAUUUAAAAAAAAAUUUAUUACUAAACAUCAUCAUCAUCAUUUAACAUCCAUCCACUGUUCUUACUGCAUGGGUUAGAUGGUUUGACUGGAACAGGUAAGCCAAAGGGCUGCACCAGGUUCCAGUUUGAUUUGAUGUAUUUUCUACAACUGGAUGCCCUUCCUAAUGUCAACCACUUCAAGCAUGUAAUGGGUGAUUUUUAUAUUUCACCAGCAACAACCACAACUACAACUUGACCAGUGCCACUUAUAUAACAUUCGCUGUAGCCACAACUACAAUUCCACUUGGCUUGGCAAGUCUUUUCAAGCACUGCAUAUCGCCAGUGGUUUUGGUCACUUGCUAUCACCUCUGUGAGGCCCGACAUUCAAAGAUCAUGCUACCGGCAACAGCCACGAUAACAAUUUUAUGGGUGCCGUUCACAUGGCUUGACGAGUCUUCUGAAGCACAGCAUUUUUGUAAAGAAUGGUUUCGAUCCUGUUCAGCUGAAUUAGUUUUCAAUUUGGCAAAACCAGUAAUAUUGUCUGAGACCCCCUUCAGUCAUGACACAGACCAUGGGAUUGCACCUAGAAAGUUACCCUCCCAAGUAGAAGUCCAGCAGUCGCCCAUGAAUACUGGUCUCCCCUCUCCAUGCCACCAGUGUUAUCCAAAGGAAAGGCAAAGGCCAAUACUGCUUGGCACCUGUGACGUCACAACUCAUUUCUGCAGCUGAGUGAACUGGAGCAACGUGAAAUAAAGUGUCUUGCUCAAGAGCAUAACAUGCAGCCCGGUCCGCAAUUCGAGAUCACAACCUCACGAUCGUAAGCUCGACGCUCUAACCACUGAGCCAUGCGCCUUCACAGUAAUAUUGUAAUGACCUUUGAUUUUGUUUACUAAUACAUGUUUGAUAAAAUGGCCACCUAGUUGUUCUUCAUUAACACCUAGUUAAUGAGACUGGUUCAGUUUUACUUUCACAAUACUGUUUUGUUAUUACUUCUUUGGUGAUGUUUUUACUAAAAACAUCUUGUGUUAAGGUUCUUUGAUCUGAUAAUUGAAGUUUCUUUUAUUGUUUGACUUGUUUCAGUCAUUGGACUGUGACCAUUCUGGGGCGCCAUCUUGUAGGGUUUCACUAAAACAAAUUGACUCCAGUAUUUACAGUGUCUUUUUUUUUUUUAAAGUCUGGUACUUACUUUUUCAGUCUCUUUUGCUGAACUGCUAGGUUAGUGGUGGACCUACAGAAGCUAACACUGGUAGUCAAACAGCGGGGUGACAAACACACACACGUGACACUACCACUACCACGUUGUUUCUAUCAAAUUCACUUGCAGAGUCCAGUGUAAGACACUUGUUCAAGGUACCACACAGUGGGACUGAACCUGAAACCAUGUGGUUGCAAAACAAGCUUCUUAAGCACAGAGCCAUGCCUGUGCCUAUAAACAUUUUUUUAUAUCAGUUUUUUUAUUGACAAUUUUUUUUUUAUUUGAGAUUUAGUUCAAUCUGUUUCAUACAACAAACAUUCGUCUGAUAAAACCUCUACGUAUCUUGCUAUUAAUUGUUGUAAGUUUGAUUGGAUCAAAAAACAUACUUGGUUUAUUGAACACUUUGCUAAAACAAAUUGGGAUGUUUUUGGUUUGAACGGCAGUUUUUUCUAGCAGUGUCAUAUGAAAUUUUCACCCAUAAUUAUGACCCUAGUAUCGACCUAUUGUAUUUCAAUCUGUUUCUUAAAUGAGGGACAUAUUCAUAUGGCAGAGAAUGUUUUCACCUCAAUAGACGGUCAUUGAUUGGUUGAAAUUGCCGAAAUGCAAGAAAUUAAAGACUAAAUAUCUUACAAACUAUAGAAUUUUCUCAAUAAAGCCAAGAGAAAAAGAUGUUUUAUAAACACAUUCUACCAGUAUACGAAGUUUAAAAUUUUUUAGUUACCUAGAAAUUAUGUUAAAAACUGCCAUUCAAACCGAAAAGAUCCACAAAUUGUUUACUUAAAAGAGUGUCUGUUGUCAUUUAGAUCAUCAUCAACAACAUUUAAUGUCUACUUGUUCAUUGGAACAUUGUUUGGCCAUUUAGAAUUAUGGACUCAAAGUGCUAGGUCUGAAUGUUAAUUUCUUUUAGUAAAAACAAUGAGUCUAACAAAACGCGUUUUGUUUCAUUUACAAACAUGUCAGAGACUAAAUUAGCCAUAAGGGCUCUAGAAACAUAACCCAAAUAGUGGUGUUUGUGAUAUUGAGGGCAGUGGUAGUGGUAGUGAUAAAGAUGAUGGUGGUGAUGGUGAAUGUGGUGCUGGAUUAGUGAGUGAAGAUCCAGAUCAGUGAUUCUCAGCCAGGGUCGAUAUGUUGAGGGUCCUUAUGAAAGUGUUGAGGGUCCUUAUGAAAUUUUUUUGAUAAAAAUUUUUGUGUAAUAACUUGGUUAUACUUCUACUAUACAUGAAAUGGUUUAACAAUUUUUUAUACAAUUCAUAAUAAUCCUCAUCAUCGAGAUCCCUUAACUGAUGCAUCCAGUCAAUGGGGUGCCACUCUAGAUGCUUUCAUAGCCAGCCAUUGCCACUGGUCUCUUAUCUGUCAUGCCAAGUGAGUUUGCAAUAUUGUAACUUGUCUAGUCCUUGAUGUUGUCAAACCAGGGUUUUCUCUGUUUGCUUCUCUUUUGCCCUUUCUCAACUCUGCCCUGAAGAAUGGUUUAGGGGCAUGGAGUUGUGG